GAUGUAUGUCUUGCACGUGUCUAUUUGUGGUGAAAAUGGGAUAUUCAUGUGAGUACUUGAUGUAUGUUUUAGUGAUCAACUUNNNNNNNNNNUUUUGAAGUUAUCUUAUCGGAUUGAGUCUUUAAGAACACUUGAUGUAUCUCUUGCACGUGUCUAUCUGUGGUGACAAUGGGAUAUUCAUGUGAGUACUUGAUGUAUGUUUUGGUGAUCAACUUGCGGGUUUCGUGACAUCGGGAACCUAUACAAAUGGAUUGGCACACGUUUCGACUCUCCAAUAGAAACUUUGGGGCACUCUUUGAAGUUCUAUGUGUUGGUUGAAUAGAUGAUUCUGAGAUUGUGUGAUGCAUAUCGUAUAAUCAUGCCCAUGCAUACUUGAAGUGACAAUGGAGUAUCUAGGUGACAUUAGGGUCUUGGUUGAUGUGUGUCUUAAGGUGUUAUUCUAGUACGAACUCUAGGAUAGCUUGAACGGAAAGAAUAGCUUCGUGUUAUUUUACUAUGGACUCUUGAAUAGAUCGAUCAGAAAGAAUAACUUUGUGGUGGUUUCGUACCCGACAAUAAUCUCUUCGUUUGUUCUCCGCUAUUAGUCACUUAGGAGUGACNNNNNNNNNNNNNNNNNNNNNNNNNNNNNNNNNNNNNNNNNNNNNNNNNNNNNNNNNNNNNNNNNNNNNNNNNNNNNNNNNNNNNNNNNNNNNNNNNNNNGGGAGAGGAUCCCAAGGGGAAGGAAGGAACAAGUUCCGAUGAAGAGGAGGCUCCUCUACCUCCACCUGGAGACACCCAUAUGGAGUUCAAGAAGUCGAGCCUCCCUGACUCAAGGAAGAAGCCUAAGACUUUGUUUAUCCCUUCUCGUUUCUUGCAGGAGAGUAACCAGGAAUUAUGCCAAAGGGUGUUAAGGCUUGAAGAGGAAAAUGAUGAUCUGAGGGAGCAGAAUUUUAUGCUCAAAUGGAAAUUAAACAAGGUCAAGGUCUCUACAACAACUCCACCACCAUCACCGCCAAAGGAAGACAACUAAGCAUGGGUAUGGGAAAUCCCCUUGGCUUGUGCCAAGCUUGGGGGAGUUGCCCCAGAAUCGUAUCACCAUCAUAUCUUUUGCCUUUACCUUUGUUUUAGUUUGUUCCUUUUCAGUUUUCUUUUUCUCUGGUAGAUUAAAAGUCUUAGUGUUUUAGUCUUGAGUUUUGCUUUGUGUCACCCCCGAUGUAUUCGAGCUCGUGAUCCAUAUAAUAAAGGGUGUCUUAGUUGAGGGCUUUGCCUCUUUCCAUGAUCAAAAGAGUGAGAAAGGAACAAAAACAUGAAAGAUCAUGUAAUGAUCUUAUGGGAAGUGAUGGCUUCACAUAUAAAAAUAAUGUUGAUUGAAAAUUGUUGAGGGUAGACAAACAUAGACCUUGGUCAUUGUUGCAAUUAAUAGGAAGUGAUAAAGAAGGAGAGGUUCACAUAUAAAUACAUCAUCUUUGACACCAUCUAUGAUUGUGAACACUCACUAAACUAUUGCAUGCUUACAAGUAGACGUUGGACAAGGAAGACAACAUAAUGAAUUGUGUUUGCUUGGUUCCGAACAAUGUUAUAUCAUUAGAGAUCCCUUAGCAUGUGACGAUUGCUUCCACCUCAUAUUAGCCAAAACUCCCGCACCAAGUAGAGAUACUACUUGUGCAUCCAUAAACCUUCAACCCAGUUUUGCCAUGAGAGUCCACCAUACCUACCUAUGGAUUGAAUAAGAUCCCUCAAGUAAGUAGCCAUCGGUGCAAGCAAUAAAAAUUGCUCCCUGAUAUGUAUGGUCUAUUAGUGUGUGGAAAAUAAGCUUUGUAUGAACCUGUGAUGAGGAGGACAUAAAAGCGACAGACUGCAUAAUAAGGUUCUUUAUCACAGGAGGCAAUAUAAAGUGACGUUCGUCCGCACUAAGAGGACACGCAUCCAAACCUCAAAAGCGCAUGACAACCUCUGCUUCCCUCUACGAAGGGCCUAUCUUGUACCUUUACUUUUUGCCCUUGAAAGAGUCAUGGUGAUCUUCACCAAUUCCUUGUUUCGCCUUUAUCUUGGCUAACGUCAUAUGCUAGGGAAAGAUCUAUAUUCAUAUGUCAACUUGGAGGUAAGCAUUCAUGAAUUAUUAUUGUUGACAUUACCCUUGAGGUAAGCAGUUGGGAGGCAAAACUAUAAGCUCCUAUCUUUCUCUGUAUUCAGCUGAAACUUUGAUCUCAUGAGUACCACGUGAGUUGUAGCAAUUGUAGAGAACGAAAACAUGAUUGAGUAUGAGGAUUUUCUUUACAAGCUCUUAUUUGACUCUUUCCGAUGUUGUGAUAAAUUGCAAUUGCUUCAAUGACUAAAAGGCGAUCGGUUGCUAAUUCUCGGUAAGGUUCUUGAUCCAUACUUUACUUUGUGAUGGAAUUGUCACUUUAGAAUGAGAGAUUAUAUGUUGGUAUUGUUGUUCUGAUCAUGAUCAUGAUGCAUGCAUGCUCAUAUCUUGUUUUGUUCACACCUCUCUCCCUAAACAUGUGGGCAUGUUUAUUGAGCUCGGCUUUCGCUUGAGGACAAGCGAGGUCUAAGCUUGGGGGAGUUGAUACGUCCAUUUUGCAUCAUGCUUUCAUGUUGAUAUUUAUUGCUUUCUGGGCUGUUAUUUCACUUCACGGUACAAUACUUAUGCCUUUUCUCUCUUAUUUUGCAAGGUUUACAUGAAGAGGGAGAAUGCCGACAGCUGGAAUUCUGGCCUGAAAAAGGAGAAAGUUUGAGAUGCCUAUUCUGCGCAACUCCAAAAGCGUGAAAAUCAACGUGGAUUUUUUUGGGAAUAUAUAAAAAAUACUGGGUCGAAGAAGUGCCAGAGGGGCGCCAGCAGGUGGCCACAAGCCUUCUAGGCGCGGCCACCCCCCUGGCCGCGUCUAGGGGGCUUGUGGGCUCCCUGCUGGCCCACUGGCUCCCCUCUUCUGCUAUAUGAAGGGUUUCAUUCUGGAAAAAAAAUCAGGAGGAGGCUUUUCGGAGGAUUCGCCGCCGCCACGAGGCGGAACUUGAGCAGAACCAAUCUAGAGCUCCGACGGGACGAUCCUGCCAGGGAAACUUCCCUCCCGGAGGGAGAAAUCGUCGCCAUCGUCAUCACGAACACUCCUCUCAUUGGAGGGGACUCAUCACCAUCAACAUCUUCAUUAGCACCAUCUCAUCUCCAAACCCUAGUUCAUCUCUUGUAACCAAUCUCCGUCUCGCGACUCCGAUUGGUACUUGUAAGGUUGCUAGUAGUGUUAAUUACUCUUUGUAGUUGAUGCUAGUUGGAUUAUUUGGUGGAAGAGUUUAUGUUCAGAUCCUUGAUGCUACUCAUUACCUCUCUGGUCAUGAAUAUUAUUAUGCUUUGUGAGUAGUUACUUUUGUUCAUCAGGACAUGGGAUAAGUCAUGCUAAUAGUAGUCAUGUGAAUUUGGUAUUCGUUCGAUAUUUUGAUGUGCUGUAUGUUGUUUUUCCUCUAGCGGUGUUAUGUGAACGUCGACUACAUAACACUUCACCAUUAUUUGGGCCUAGAGGAAGGCAGUGGGAAGUAGUAAGUAGAUGAUGGGUUGCUAGAGUGACAGAAGCUUAAACCUUAGUUUAUGUGUUGCUUCGUAAGGGGCUGAUUUGGAUCCACUAGUUUAAUGCUAUGGUUAGACUUUGUCUUAAUUCUUCUUUCGUAGUUGCAGAUGCUUGCGAGAGGGAUUAAUCAUAAGUGGGAUGCUUGUCCAAGUAAGGUCAGUACCCAAGCGACGGUCCACCCACAUAUCAAACUAUCAAAGUAACGAACGCGAAGCAUAUGAACAUGAUGAAAACUAGCUUGACAGAAAUUCCCGUGUGUCCUCGGGAGCGUUUUCCUCCUAUAAGACUUUGUCCAGGCUUGUCCCUUGCUACAAAAGGGAUUGCGCCACUUUGCUGCACUGUUGCUACUUUUGUUACUUGUUGCUUGCUACGAAUCAUCUCACCACACAACUAUUUGUUACCGAUAAUUUCAGUGCUUGCACAGAAUACCUUGCUGAAAACCACUUGUCAGAUCCUUCUCCUCCUCGUUGGGUUCGACACUCUUACUUAUCAAAAGGACUACGAUAGAUCCCCUACACUUGUGCGUCAUCAGGCGACACCUAGUAGGUGUGCUGGCGCGCCCCCACUGAAGGAGAAAUAAAAAUUUCGAAGAAGAAUGAACGAAAGGGCAGAAACCUUACCCCAACCGACUGCGCAAGGUGGAGCAUCCGCUCCCAUGUCGCCUAUGCCACGUGCACCGCAUGGUUGCGGCAUUCGGCGAACUCCGCGAUCAGCGCAGGAACCCAGCCACCUCCUCCAACGUUCCCGCUGGUUGCGACCCAGGUCUCCAUCGGUUGGUUCCCGGCACUCGAGCUGGCUCCGGUUGCAGCCGGGUGCGCGUCGACGCAACCAUGGUCUCGGCUCCCGAAGAUACGCCCCCCGCCGGCUCCGUCGAUGAGUCAGGCUGGCGGGGCUCCUUUGGGCCGGGGACCUCAACUUCCGAGGCUCCGCCUCCUGCCUUUGUGUACGGAUCGUUGGCGGUGUCCACCUUCCCGCUCGGAGCAUGCGUUCGUGGCGGCGGAACUCAACCUUUGACGUGGCUUCAUGCGCCUCCGGUGCGACAUCCGGCGUGACUUCGGGCGCCUCCGGCGCAACCACGGGCCGCUACGGGGCCACCUCGGGCCCCUGUGGCGCGUUGUUGGGCCCCUGCUCACGCCCCUUUGCAGCAUCCAUCGUGCUCGCAUCCACGCGUGCUACCUCGGUAGCCCAUGCGUCCGCCUCCUGCUGUUGCGUGGGGUCGUGCCUCCUCUUGGACCACUUCUCCCUGCCCGUCAGCUCCGUUGCGGAGUCGUGCGCCUACGGCUCCGCACGGGUCCCUCAGGCUGCCAUGUUGUGGGACACCUCCUCCGAUGGAUGGCGCUCCUACUCAAUCAGUGAUGUCGGUGCCGAUUCCAUCUAGGCCUAGCAUGCGCGCUCCUUCGCGGUGCCCCCUCCAUCCUUCAUCGUCGUUGUUCGGGUUGACUUCGCCAAGGUGCUCGGGGCCCUGCUCAUCAUCCUUUGAUAAGCAUGAACUCUCACGGAGAAAAACAAGAUAAACGGAACAGGCUGGUCGUAGGGCUUACUCGGUGCUGACGGAACCUGACUUGCUGGAAGGCCCCACCGGCAGGACGUGCUACUUCUUCACGCUGCCUCCGUGGCCGCCUGCCGAAGGUCUACCGGCUGCUUGCUUAGGAGCCGAGCGAGCACCCACCAUCUGCUUGCUCCGCUUCUUCACCUCUGCCCCUCUCCUGCGGAUCCGCAGCCGACUCGGCGCAACCGCCUCCUCGGCACGCCAGCGUCGUCCUUUGGUGCCACCAGAUCCUUCGUGGUGGCUACAUCGCGUGAUUCUGGUGACUCCGUAUCGUCAUCAGACCAACCCUGCAGCACAGACUUGAGAAACUCACCGGUCGGCUUGGAUCCCUCUGACUUUGUCGCGUCGUCUCCCAAUGCCUUGCCUCCGGCGCGGGUCAUCUCCCUCAGCUCCACCUCGUCGGCGUCCUUGAUCUCCUCGGGGUCCGACUCCGGCACGUCAUCUGCCGACCAGUUUUAAAUUUGCCACCGGGAGAACAACUAUCGCCGCAAUCGGCAUCUAGCGUUAGGGACAAGAAUGCAACAUGAACAAUAGAAAAAUAAACCUGAUGCGUUGCUUACCAUCGAGGCCGGAUGCUCCUGGUCGUAGGGGGCCUUGCCACAGCGCCAUUCGUCUUCAUCCAUCGGGGCGUCGGAGAUCAAGUUCACCCGCCUCGCCACAUGGUCCGACCGCAGCUCCUUCGUCGAGAGCCGACACGGGUCAUGUCGGCCGCCCAUCUGGCUCAUGAGGUGCGGGAGGCGCUGCAGCGGCUAGACCCGACGCGCCACCAUGGUGGUUGAUACGUCUCCAAUGUAUCUAUAAUUUUUGAUGGUUUCAUGCUAUUAUCUUGUCAAACUUUGGAUGUUUUGCACGCCUUUUAUUUAUUUUUUGGGACUAACUUAUUAACUCAGUGCCAAGUGCCAGUUCUUAUUUUUUCCAUGUUUUUUACCCCUUUUAGAGGAUAUUUUGAAAUGAGUCCAAACGGAAGAAAAUCCCUGAAAAGAUUUUUUCUGUAACGGAAGAAGAUCGGGGAGCUUGGGAGCCAGGGCAGAGGGUCACCAGGGACCCCACAAGCCCCCACCCCGCGGCUAGGGGGGAGGCCACGCCAUCCAAGCUUGUGAGCCCCCUGAGCGUCCCCUGACCUAGGGGUUGCGCCUAUAUAUUCCCUGAAAAUCCCAAAAAAAUCAAGAGAUCACCGAAACUACUUUUUCGCCGCCACAAGGUUCUGUCUCCGCGAGAUCCCAUCUGGGGCACGUUCUGGUGCCCUGCCGGAGGGGGGAUUUGGACACGGAGGGCUGCUUCAUCAACAGCAUGACCUCUCCGAUGAUGUGUGAGUAGUUCACCAUAGACCUACGGGUCCAUAGCUAGUAACUAGAUGGCUUCUAAUCUCUCUUGGAUCUUCAAUACAAAGUUCUCCAUGAUCUUCAUGGAGAUCUAUCCGAUGUAAUCUUCUUUUGCGGUGUGUUUGUUGAGAUCCGAUGAAAGGUGGAUUUAUGAUCAGAUUAUCUAUGAAUCCUAUUUGAGUUUCUUCUUAUCUCUCUUAUGCAUGAUUUCAUAUCCUUGUAAUUCUCUUCGAGUUGUGGGUUUUGUCUGGCCAACUGGAUCUACGAUUCUUGCAAUGGGAGAAGUGCUUGGUUUUGGGUUCAUACCGUGCGGUGACCUCACCCAGUGAAAGAAGGGGUAGCGAGGCAUGCAUCGUGUUGUUGCCAUCAAGGGUAAAAAGAUGAGGUUUUCAUCAUUGGUUUGAGAUUAUCCAUCUACAUCAUGUCAUAUUGCUUAAAGCGUUACUCUGUUCGCCAUGAACUCAAUACACUAGAUGCAUGCUGGAUAGCGGUCGAUGUGUGGAGUAAUAGUAGUAGAUGCAGAAAGUAUCGGUCUACUUGUCUCGGACGUGAUGCCUAUAUGUAUAAUCAUUGCCUUAGAUAUCGUCAUGACUUUGCGCGGUUCUAUCAAUUGCUCGAUAGUAAUUUGUUCACCCACCGCAACACUUGCUAUUUUGAGAGAAGCCUCUAGUGAACACUAUGGCCCCCAGGGUCUACUCCACACCAUAUUUUCAGCCUUACACUUUUUACUUCGUUGCACUUUCCGCCUUCAGAUCUCACUUUGCAAACAAUCUUGAAGGGAUUGACAACCCCUUUGAAGCGUUGGGUGCAAGCUUGUUUGUGUUUGCGCACGUACUCUAGACUUGACGAGACCCUCCUUCUGGAUUGAUACCUUGGUUCUCAAACUGAGGGAAAUACUUACUUCUCGUGUGCUGCAUCACCCUUUCCUCUUCAAGGGAAAAACCAACGCAAGCCUAGCCUCUGUCAACGUGUCAAUUUCUGGCGCUGUUGUUUGUGGGAUAGCAGAAGACUUUUUGGCGCCGUUGCCGGGGAGGAAGAUCAAGUCAAAAACUCAUCCAAGUAGUUGUCGCAAACUCAUCUCUUGCAUUUACUUUGUUUAACAGUUGCCUCUCCUUUUCCUCUCCCCCACUUCACCAAUUUGCCUUUUUUGUUCGCAUUUUCAUUCGCCCUUUUUCUCGCCUGCUCUUUGUUUGCUUGUGUGCUUGCUUGCUUGCCGAAGUCACCAUGAACAAAAGCACCAAACUUUGUGACUUCUCGAAUACUAAUAAUAAUGAUUUUAUUAGUACUCUGAUUGCUCCCACCACUAGUGCGGAGUCAUACGAAAUCAAUGCCGCUUUGCUGAAUCUUGUUAUGAAAGAGAAAUUCUCUGGCCUUCCUAGUGAAGAUGUCGCAUCCCAUCUCAAUACCUUCAUUGAGCUUUGCAAUAUGCAAAAUAAAAAAUAUGUGGAUAAUGACGUGAUAAAAUUGAAGCUUUUUCCUUUCUCGUUGCGAGAUCGCGCAAAAACUUGGUUUUCUUCUUUGCCCAAAAAUAGUAUCGAUUCUAGGGAUAAGUGCAAAGAUGCUUAUAUAUCCAAGUAUUUUCCGCCAGCUAGGAUCAUCUCUCCCCGUAAAGAUAUCAUGAAUUUCAAGCAACUUGAUCAUGAACAUGUUGCACAAGCUUGGGAGAGAAUGAAAUUAAUGAUUAGAAAUUGUCCCGCUAAUAGCUUGAGCCUUUGGAUGAUUAUUCAAAUCUUUUACGCUGGCUUGAAUUUCGCUUCUAGAAAUAUCUUGGACUCCGCCUCAGGUGGAACGUUCAUGGAAAUCACGUUAGGGGAAGCCACAAAUCUCUUAGACAACAUCAUGACAAACUACUCUCAAUGGCACACUGAAAGGUCACCUACUAGUAAGAAGGUACACGUUGUAGAAGAAGUUAACUCGUUGAGUGCUAAGAUGGAUGAGUUAAUGAAUUUGGUUGCUAGUAGAAGUGCUCCUUUGGAUCCUAAUGAUAUGCCUUUGUCUUCUUUGAUUGAGAGUAGCAACGCUAGCUUGGACGUUAAUUUUGUUGGUAGGAAUAACUUUGGCAACAACAAUGCCUUUAGAGGAAACUAUGUUCCUAGGCCUUUUCCUAGUAACUCCUCUAAUAACUUUGGCAACUCCUACAACAAUACUCAUGGGAAUUACAAUAGAUUACCCUCUGAUCUAGAGAGUAAUAUCAAAGAGUUCAUCAACUCUCAAAAGAUUUUCAAUGCGUCCAUAGAGGAAAAACUAAUCAAAAUUGACGAUUUGGCUAAGAGCGUGGAUAGAAUUUCUUGUGAUGUUGAUGCUUUGAAAGUUAGAUGUGCUCCUCCCAAAAUCAACAUGGAUGAAACGUUGAAAGCUAUGCGUGUUUCCAUGAUUAAGAGCCAAGAAAGAACCGCCCAAAUUCAUGCUAGACAUGAAUGGCUUAAAAAGGCGUGUUCUCGUGAUGAGAAUCACGAAGAUCUUAAAGUGCUUGGUGUGACUCCCAUUGAUUCUUUGUUUUCUUGUGUCAAACCUAAUGAUUAUGGGGCUGGAUAUGAAUCCCCUUUGGUUGAAAAGUGCCCUAAUGAUUCGGGGUCCAUCUAUCUUGAUGCUAAAAGCAUUAAAAGUGGAGUAGAAGACGUUAAAACUUUGAGUAGUAAUGAAAUUACUACCGUGGAUUUCAAGGCAUUCAAUUAUGAUAGUUGCUCCUUGAUUGAAUGCAUUUCUUUGAUGCAAUCCAUGUUGAACUCUCCACACGCUUAUAGCCAAAACAAAGCCUUUACCGAUCAUAUCGUCGAAGCUAUGAUAAAAUCUCUUGAAGAGAAACUUGAAUUAGAAGUCGCUAUCCCUAGAAAGCUUCAUGAUGAGUGGGAACCAACCAUCAAAAUCAAAAUCAAAAACUAUGAGUGCAAUGCUUUGUGUGAUUUGGGUGCUAGUGUUUCUGCGAUUCCAAAGUCUUUAUGUAAUGUUCUGGGUUUUAAUGAGAUUGAAGAGUGUUCUUUUAAUUUGCAUCUUGCUGAUUCCACUGUCAAGAAACCCAUGGGAAGGAUCAAUGAUGUUCUUAUUAUUGCAAAUAGGAACUAUGUACCCCAUGGAUUUCAUUGUGCUUGACAUUGAUUGCCAUCCUACAUGCCCUAUUAUUCUUGGUAGACCUUUCCUAAGGACUGUUGGUGCUAUCAUCGAUAUGAAGGAAGGGAAUAUUAGAUUUCAAUUUCCCUUAAGGAAGGGCAUGGAACACUUUCCUAGAAAGAAAAUAAGAUUGCCUUAUGAAUCCAUGAUGAGGGCCACUUAUGGUUUGAACACCAAAGACGACGAUACGUGAUUCUAUCGCUUUUAUGCCUAGCUAAGGGCAUUAAACAAUAGCGCUUGUUGGGAGGCAACCCAAUGAAUUUAUCUGUUUCUUUCUGUUUUAUUGCGUACACGCUUUCAUAAUUCUGUUGUGAUUGUGUUUUUUGUGUUUCUUUUUGUGUUUGAGCCAAGCAAAGCUUUUAUGACUAGUCUUGGUAAUGGUUGUUUGAUCCUACUGGAAAAAGACAGAAACUUUUCGCUCACGAGAUGAUUUUUUGUUUUUAUUCAGAAAGAGAUUUUGAGUUGAUUCUUUUUGCUGCUGAUUGAUAUGCUUUUUUCCCAUGUCGUCGUAAUUUUUCAGAUUUUUUUUAGGUACGAGAAGUAUACGAAGUAUAUAGAUUGCUACAAACUGGUCGGUUUUUGACAGAUUAUGUUUUUGUUGAGUUGGUUGCUUGUUUUUAUGAAACUAUGGUUAGUAUCGGGGGGGGAUACUAGCCAUGGAAAAGUGAGAAUACAGUAGUCCAUCAUCAAUAUACAUGGAAUUCAAGGUUGCUACAGUACCAAAAGAAGUGGUAGUUUGUUUUCUUGUACUAAUGUUAUCACAAGUUUCUGUUUAAGUUUUGUGUUGUGAUGUUUUCAUGUUUUGGGUGAUGUUCUCAUGGCAAAGAGACAAGGAGUGUAAAGAGCUCAAGCUUGGGGAUGUCCAAGGCACCCGAAGACAAAUUCAAGGACACCAAAAGCCUAAACUUGGGGAUUCACCAGGAAGGCAUCCCCUCUUUCGUCUUGAAUCCAUCGGUGACAUUACUUGGAGCUAUAUUUUUAUUCACCACAUGAUAUGUGUUUUGCUUGGAGCGUCUUGUAUCAUAGGAGUCUUUUAUUUUUGUUGUGUCACAAUCAUCCUUGCUUCACACCUUUUUGAGAGAGAGAGACAUGCACUCAUCGUGAUUUUUCUAGAAUGCUCAUACUGCUUCACUUAUAUCUUUUGAGCUAGAUACUUUUGCUCUUGUGCUUCACUUAUAUCUUUAGAGCACGGCGGUGCGUGACUUGGUAGUUGGCUUAUGCUAUGAAAGUAGUCCCAAAUGUGCUAGGUACCCAAAGAGGAUGCAAAAACUUCCAUCUUCAUGUGCAUUGAGUAGAAAGAGAAGUUUCGAUUCCUCUCAAUUAGUUUUGAGACUUGGAUUCGGUAAUAUUAAGAUUAUGUUAGUAGGGUGUUGUGAAUCUAGAAAUACCUGUGUUGGAGUUAGUGAUUCCCGUAGCAUGCAUGUAUGGUUAACCGCUAUGUUUGGAAGUAGGAGCAUAAUUGAUCUAUUGAUUGUCAUCCUUUCUGUUGAGGUCGGGAUCGCGUGAUGGUUUACACCUACCAACCCUUCCCCUCGGAGUAUGCGUUUAGCACUUUGUUUUGAUUACUAAUAAAAACUUUCGCAAUAAGUAUGUGAGUUCUUCAUGACUAAUGUGAGUCCAUGGUAUAUAUGCACUUUCACCUUCCACCAUUGCUAGACUCUCUAGUGCCGCGCAAUUCUCGCCGGUGCACAAACCCACCAAUUUCCUUCCUCCAAACAGCCACCAUAUCUACCUACUGUGGCAUUUUCAUAGCCAUUCCGAGAUAUAUUGCCAUGCAACUACCACCGUUCCGUCUCAUGACUUGUGUCGUCACUCUCAUAUUGCAAUGGCAAGAUCGUAAGAUAGUUAGCGAGAUGUCUCAAUGUCAUACGGCAUGCUAGAUCGUUGCACAUCCCGGUACACUGCCGGUGGCAUUUCCUAUGGAGUCAUCAUCAUUGUGAUCUUUGAGCUAUGAGUAAAUAAAAGUGUGAUGAUCAUCAUUAUUAGAGUAUUGUUCCAUGUGUGGAAAUAAAAAAAAAGGCCAAAGAUCCCAAAAACAAAACAAAAAAGAGAAAAGAAAAGAUAAGAAAAGAAAAAAGAGGCCUAAGAGCCCAAAUGAAAAAAAAAGAGAAAAAGAGAGAAGGGACAAUGCUACUAUCUUUUUCCACACUUGUGCUUCAUGUUAGCAUCAUGUUCUUCAUGAUUGAGAGCUUCUUGCUUUGUCACUACUAUAUGCUAGUGGGAAUCUUCGUUUUAUAGCUUGGCUUGUAUAUUCCAAUGAUGGGCUUCCUCAAAAUUGCCCUAGGUCUUCGUGAGCAAGCAAGUUGGAUGCACACCCACUAGCUUUCCUUUUGAGCUUUCACAUACUUAUAGCUCUAGUGCAUCUCUUGUAUGGCAAUCCCUACCGAUUCACAUUGAUAUCUAUUAAUGGGCAUCUCCAUAGCCUAUUGAUACGCCAAGUCAGCGUGACCAUCUCCUCCUUUUUUGUCUCACAACCACCGCCACACUCUAUUCCACCUAUAGUGCUAUAUCCAUGGCUCGCGCUCAUGUAUUGCGUGAUAGUUAUAAAAAGUUUGAGAAAGUAAGAGUGCGAAAACAAUUACUUGCCCAAUUCCGGGGUUGUGCAUGAUUUACAUUAGUUGUGUGAGGGUGAUGGAGCAUAUCUAGACUAUAUGAUUUUGUAGGGAUAACUUUCUUUAGCCUUGUUAUUUUGAAAGUUCAUGAUUACUUUGCUAGUUUGCUUGAAGUAUUACUGUUUUCAUGUCAAUAGCAAACUAUUGCUUUGAAUCGUACGGAUCUGAACAUUCAUGUCACGUGAAAGAAGUUGCAAAGUACAACUAUGCUAGGUAGCAUCUCACAUCAAAAAUUCAUUCUUUAUCACUUCCCUACUCGAGGACGAGCAGGAGUUAAGCUUGGGGUGCUUGAUACGUCUCCAACGUAUCUAUAAUUUUUGAUGGUUUCAUGCUAUUAUCUUGUCAAACAUUGGAUGUUUUGCAUGCCUUUUGUUUAUUUUCUGGGACUACCUUAUUAACUCAGUGCCAAGUGCCAGUUCCUGUUUUUUCCAUGUUUUUGACCCCAUUUAGAGGAGAUUUUGAAACGGAGUCCAAACGGAUGAAAAUCCCCGAAAAGAUUUUUUUCUGCAACGGAAGAAGAUUGGGGAGCUUGGGACCCAAGGCAGGGGAGCCCCAGGGGCCCCACAAGCCCCCACCCCACGGCCAGGGGGGAGGCCGCGCCAUCCAGGCUUGUGGGCCCCCUGAGCGUCCCCUGACCUAGGGGUUGCACCUAUAUAUUCCCUAAAAAUCCCAAAAAAAUCAAGAGAUCAUCGAAAGUACUUUUCCGCCGCCGCAAGCUUCUGUCUGCGCAAGAUCCCAUCUGGGGCACGUUAUGGUGCCCUGUCAGAGGGGGGGUUCGGACACGGAGGGCUUCUUCAUCAACACCAUGACCUCUCUGAUGAUGCGUGAGUAGUUCAUCAUAGACCUACGGGUCCAUAGCUAGUAACUAGAUGGCUUCUUCUCUCUCUUGGAUCUUCAAUACAAAGUUCUCUAUGAUCUUCAUGGAGAUCUAUCCGAUGUAAUCUCCUUUUGCGGUGUGUUUGUCGAGAUCCGAUUAAUUGUGGAUUUAUGAUCAGAUUAUCUAUCAAUCUUAUUUGAGUUUCUUCUGAUCUCUUUUAUGCAUGAUUUCAUAUCUUGUAAUUCUCUUCGAGUUGUGGGUUUUGUCUGGCCAAUUAGAUCUAUGAUUCUUGCAAUGGGAGAAGUGCUUGGUUUUGGGUUCAUACCGUGGGGUGACCUCACCCAGUGAAAGAAGGGGUAGCGAGGCACGCAUCAUGUUGUUGCCAUCAAGGGUAAAAAGAUGGGGUUUUCAUCAUUGGUUUGAGAUUAUCCCUCUACAUCAUGUCAUCAUUCUUAAAGCGUUACUCUAUUCGUCAUGAACUCAAUACACUAGAUGCAUGGUGGAUAGCGGUCGAUGUGUGGAGUAAUAGUAGUAGAUGCAGAAAGUAUUAGUCUACUUGUCUCGGACAUGAUGCCUAUAUGUAUGAUCAUUGCCUUAGACAUCGUCAUGACUUUGCGCGGUUCUAUCAAUUGUUCGACAGUAAUUUGUUCACCCACCGUAACACUUGCUAUUUUGAGAGAAGCCUCUAGUGAACACUAUGGCCCCUAGGGUCUACUCCACACCAUAUUUUCAGCCUUACACUUUUUACUUCGUUGCACUUUCCGCCUUCAGAUCUCACUUUGCAAACAAUCUUGAAGGGAUUGACAACCCCUUUGAAGUGUUGGGUGCAAGCUUGUUUGUGUUUGCGCAGGUACUCUGGACUUGACGAGACCCUCCUUCUAGAUCGAUACCUUGGUUCUCAAACUGAGGGAAAUACUUACUGCUCCUGUGUUGCAUCACCCUUUCCUCUUGAAGGGAAAAACCAACGCAAGUCCAGCCUUUGUCAAGGUGUGAAUUUCUGGCGCUGUUGUCUGUGGGGUAGCAGUGGCAAGAAGAUCCAUGGCCGUGAGGCCUUCCACCUCGACUAGUUGUGUCAGUCCGAUGUAGAUCUGUUCCACAUCCACACCCGGAUGCGGUAGCUCGGACUUCCAGUUCAUUAUUUCAACUAGCGGCGCAUCGAAGAAGUCGGGCAAGUUGAUGUGGUCAUCUGCCGGAUUGACGUUCUUCAUGUAUAAGAACCCCCUCUGCCAGUUCUGCACUUAGUAUUGCACGGGAAGCUUCGGGACGCCGGAUCCCAUGCGGUGGUAAACAAGCGCCGCUCCACAGGGGGGUCAUCUUCUUUUAGCCGAUGGCCUUGUUCAUCACUGACAGCUGCUUGAAGAAUAAGAGUCGGGUCCAGAGAUCCAGGUGCGGCUUGAUCCCCAAAAAUUCCUCGCAUAGGGUGACGAAGGUGGCCAGCUGCAGGACGGCGUUGGCAGCGAGAUGGUGGGGCUGGAGAACAUAGUGCGUCAAGAACCGGAAGAAGAAGUUGCUCGCCGGAAGCCCGAGCCAUCAGGCGAAGUGCUCGGUGAACACCACCACCUUGCUGGCUUGUGGGGCCGGAGAGUUCUCCGUCCCCGUGACACACGCGACGACGAGUUCCGUCGGCGGCAGCUUGCGUUGAUGACGGAGGCACUCAAUAAAAUCAUCAUCGAUAUCGCUGCUGUCCCAUGCGCCCUGGGUUAAUGACAUGCUCAGCGGCGGCUUGGGACGUCGGGCGAAAGACGAGGAAGGGCGGUGAGUCGCGUCGGGGACGGCGACGAACGGCGGCAAUAGGCACGCGGACAGCGUCUCUCUCUCUCUCUCUCGAUCAGGAAAGGGAGACGUUGGAGAAGGCAAGGGAUCGGGAUGGGAGAGCAAAUGCUCCCUCGGCCCCUCCUCCUGCCCAUUUAAACCCCGUGCGGGGUAGUGGGGGAGGGGAUCUGACGCACACGAUCCCCACUACCCCCGCGCCGCGCGGGCGGCGUUACUACGCAUUGGGAGCACCAACCAUCGCCUCCAAUCCAGAGAAGAUCCACGCGCAUGGGCCGAGGGAGCAGUCAAGCGGGCCCCACACCGUGGCCCGGCCUUGUCACACGCGUGGCCUGCGGCAUGCCACACAUGGCGCACUCCCUCUGCGUGUGAAGAGCCCGAGGGGGAUCGUGCCACGGCCGGCUAUGGUCUGGGCCGUCUCUCGUGGGCACGUGAUCCGACCGCAGCCAUGCAACACGCAGGAUAGAAUCCAAGACGGCGAGGUCCGCCGCCCUGAGCCGGCGGGCCUCCCCUGCUUCGGCGACUACUGACGGGGGAUGGACCCCUGGGUAGGCCAAAAGCAAUCACUUCCCCAUUCCACUUUGAAAAACAUACAUAGGACGACCGCUUCUCCGCAAAGGGUCGGUUCCUCCUGGCCGGCUGCACGGUCGAGAUGGCUCACGCAAGGACGCUCUCCAUCUGGCUCGACUGCAUCUCGUUAGUCGGCGGAUCAGCUCCAGUCACAUCAUCCUGACAACCCGAAUCAUGGCCAUCAUAAUCAAAGGCAUGGCUACAGCGGUUCAGGUACCGCUGACCUGACCGCGUGUGGCUACAUUGGAGGGGGUCGUACCACUCACCGUUGCCGACUGCGACUGGCUGAGGAGGCACAGUGGCGAGUACGCCCUCGUCCACUCCAUUACCUGCCCCGACGUGGCAAUACUGUAGUCGGUCGUACCGUUGACCGCAACCGGCUACACUAGACGACAUCACACAGUGCGGUGCUCGCCGCUGCGUAACAAGCAUGCUCCAAUGGCGACGCCUGGCCGGCGGGCCCCAGCUCCUGACGGGACCCAGCAGUCAGCGGGCCCCUUCAUGCAAUAAGACUUCUCGAGCCGGUUGACCCCCUAGCCGGCUUGAGAGGCUGUCAGACGAGUCCCACCCGAGACCCUUUAUACCUAUUGUAAGAUAGGGGUUGACAUAGAAAACCCCCUCGUACCACCCCAUGCAAGUGGUCGGCCGAACACACACUCACACCACACAAGAGAGGCAAAGAGAGAUCCUAGCUCCUUCUUCCUUGUCCAUCAUACAACUCAAGGAGCACAUGGUAGCUCCAUCCGGUUUAUCAACCAACACAAGCAGGACUAGGGGUGUUACCUCGCAAGGAGGGCCCCGAACCUAGAUACAUAGUGUGUCUCGCACCGCUUGUCCCCAAUCCCGUUUCUGGAGCCCGCCUGCGUUCUUACAGCCCCAACCACGUUCAAUUAGCCACCCCAUGGCAUCUGUCAUGAGAAAAUGACGACACCAACAAGAAAGAGAAGAAGUAAUACAAAGUUUACCAGGCUCGAGACGAGCGUGUAGCAAUACAUCGAGAGUUUCUGCGUCCCCUGAGAGAAGCCGAGCCAUUCCGCCGAGUUCAAGUUAGCCUCUAGUUCACGUCUACAUACGCGGAAGUACGUGCAUGUGUUUGGCUACCGUUGAUCAAUCAACCAGCCUAUGAGCUUGCUUGCUAGCUUUGAAACUAGCUUGCACAUACGUGGGUAGUUGCUGGGUGAAUUGAUCUAUGAUUCAAAAACCAACAAUUGGUAUCAGAGCCUCGACGAUCUACAAUCUACGAUGACGAAUAGCAACGCUGAGUCAGUCAAGUCCGGCAACGACGGUUCCAAGGCGAACAAGAACGGUGGCAAGGUGAAGAAGGGCGGCAACUCAUCAACCAGUGGUGGAUGAACGAACGACGCCAACAUUCAGGCGCAUCGCAACAUCCCCAUCCAGUACCCUGUGCUCACUGACGCCAACUACGACGUGUAGGCGGUGAAUAUGAAGAUUAUUCUGCGAUCCCAUCCAAUGUGGCAGGCAAUCACGAACGACGACGUCGACGAGGAGUGUGACGAAGGUGCCAUGGACGCCAUAGCCCAGUCCGUGUCGGAUUUCGUGCAGAUGAAAUUGGCGGAGUUCGAGACGACGAGAGAGGCAUGGAAUGCACUCAAGGAGAUGAGGAUUGGAGAAGAUCGCGUCACCAAGGCUCGGGCACAAGUGUUGAAGUGCCAAUUUCACAAGUCGCAUAUGGAGGAAACUGAAUCGGUGAACGACUAUGCCAUGCAUCUUACUAGUUUGGUGGAAGAGAUCCGCGCGUUUGGUGCAAAGCUCGAGGAGACCGCGAUAGUGGAGAUUUUUUUUAGUUCGGCGACUGACAAAUUCACGUACAUCAUCGGCACACUCGAGCAGCUUUACUACAUCGACGACAUGACCAUAACGGAGGUGAUCGGACGCGUGCGAACAUGGGAAGAGAAUGAUCGUUGUUCUCGGAAAGGCAAAGGAGGCGGUACUGACCAACUCAUGUGCUCGCACGCAGAUUGGGAGGGCCCAAGUAGCAAAGGAAGGAAAGAUGGUGACGAAGGCUCAAGCAACGCGAAGUGCGAUGGACAAACUGGAAAAGGCAAAGGAAAAGGCAAACCACAAGGUCGUGGUAAGGCAGACCAAUGUAAAGAGCGGAAGCCACGAAACAUGGACUUGUCUGAGGUCAAGUUCUAUAACUGCAACGAGAUGGGUCACUUUGCAAAGGAUUGUCCGGAGCCUGAGAAGCGUGAGAUCAAGGAAAAAUUGGCAAAGCAGGAAGACGAACAUCCAGGUCCUCUAAUGGCCGAAGUUUGGGAUCUCACUUAAAUGAUGAUUGUUAAACCAAACUGGAAGGUGCUAGUUUAUGAGAAGAAAGUGAUACCGAAGCUAUCCGGGGAUCACAACGUGUCGUGCUAUCUCGACACGGGCGCGCGUAACCACAUGACGGGGUGCAAGGAGAAAUUCCUCAAGCUGAAAUAUGAUGUUGAAGGCUCGUUAAAGUGUGGUGAUGGUUCAAAUGUGGAUAUUUGCGGGCAAGGAUCUGUUCUCUUCGAGGAUCUCCCAGCCAAACAUCGCAUACUCACCAGAGUGUACUACAUCCCAUGGCUUCGCAACAACAUCAUCUCUAUUUGGAAGCUUGACGAGAAUGGAUGCAAGGUGGAUAUCGAGAACAAAGUGAUGAUGAUCUUCGACAACCUACGAAACGUGCGAGCUCAUGUUAAUCGCACACGGAACGGGCUUUAUAUCCUCAACCUUUAUCAAUCUCAACCGGAGUGUUGGCUCACCAAGAGUGAUGAUGAUUUGUGGUUAUGGCAUGCUAUAUUUGGACACGUUAACUUGUACGCCUUGAAAAAGAUGUCAAAGAGGGAGAUGGUAUCGGGGACGCCAUUUAUUGACAAUGUUGAUCGAGUAUGUGAUGGGUGCUUGGUUGGAAAACAACACCGCAAACAUGUCCUUGAUCAGUCUACCUACCAUGCAAAAGAUGCACUCGAGCUACUCCUGUUAGGGAACGUCGCAUGGGAAACAAAAAUUUCCUACGCGCACGAAGACCUAUCAUGGUGAUGUCCAUCUACGAGAGGGGAUGAGUGAUGUCACGCCCAAGAUGCGACCCUAUCCUCAAUUUGGCAUGAGGGCCUCGUCAGGGAUAGAAGCGCAUCUCGUCGUGUCGCAAGAAUGGAUAUCGUUACAAGUACAUGUACUGAAAAGAAGAGAUAUAUAAAGAGUUGGCUUACACUCGCCACAAGCUACAUCAGAGUCACAUCAGUACAUUACAUAAUCAUCAAGAGUAAGAGCAGGGUCCGACUGCGGACGAAAACAAACGACAAAAGAAGAACGACGUCCAUCCUUGCUAUCCCAGGCUGCCGGCCUGGAACCCAUCCUAGAUCGAAGAAGAAGAAGAAGAAGAAGCAACUCCAAAUGAACAAUCAACGCGCUCGCGUCACGUAGCCUUUACCUGUACCUGCAACUGGUGUUGUAGUAAUCUGUGAGCCACAGGGGACUCAGCAAUCUCAUUUCCAAAGGUAUCAAGACUAGCAAAGCUUAAUGGGUAAGGUAUGGUUAAAUGGUGAGGUUGCAGCAGCGACUAAGCAUAUAUUUGGUGGCUAACUUACGAGUACAAGAAAUAAGAGGGGGAAAAUCUACGCAUAACGGACGUUACUACUGGUGAUCAAAUGAAUGAUCCUGAACACCUACCUACGUCAGACAUAACCCCACUGUGUCCUCGAUCGGAGAAGGAACUCACGAAAGAGAUAGUCACGGUUACGCACACAGUUGGCAUAUUUUAAUUAAUUAACUUCAAGUUAUCUACAACCAGUGUUAAACAAAGUUUCCACGUUGCCACAUAACCGCGGGCACGGCUUUCCGAAAGAUUUAACCCUGCAGGGGUGCUCCAACUAGUCCAUCACAAAUUACCACAAGCCGCAUAGAAAUCCUCAAUCACGAAGCUCGCGAUCUCGUCGGAUUCCCUAGUGGAAAACCUCAACUCUGAGAUUACCCAAAGCAUCACCGGAAUCCCGAUGCACAAGAUAUCUCGUCAAAGGUAAAACUAAUCCAGCAAGGCCGCCCGACGUGUCGACGAUCCCGAUAGGAGUCGCGUACCUCGUUCUCAGGACACGACGGAUAAGCACAGCAUACGGUGGCCUGAUAGAAAUCUCCCGAGUUGCCCCGGGUUGGCCCCGCAAACGGCUCUAGUUUGGACCAACACUCAUGAGGAGCACUGGCCCGGGGGUUGAUUAAAAUAUCCUCGGGGUCCGGAAAGUCCCUAUGCAGUUUUAUUACGUGAUUAGGCAAAUGUAGUACCAAAGUUGGGCCUUGCCAGACCAGCCUUAAUCUAAAACGAAUUAUCAAGGGGGUCCCCAUAACAACCCCGAUCGUGUUAGGAGCGCUCAAUUAUGGAACAUAACACCGGUAGCCGAAACUAAGGGGGCAAAGGUGGAACAAAACACCAGGCUAGAAAGGCCGAGCCUUCCACCUUUUACCAAGUAUAUAGGUCCAUUAAAUUAUAUAGCAUUUAAUAUGGUGAUAUAACAAGGAACCCAUGCUUUCACAUGGAAGCAAUGCACCUGCAACUAGCAACGCUAUCAACAGGAUUAAGCAAGCGGUAACAUAGUCAAUCAGUGGUUUGCUAGGUCGAACAGGUUGAAGGUAAUCAUGGCAUUGUUGAGAGGCUGAUAUUUAACAGGUGGUAGGCAACGAGACAUAAACGAUAGAAGCGAUAAAACUAGCAUGGCAAUGAUAGUAGUGGUAUCUGGGGAAAUGAUCAUCUUGCCUGAGAUCCCGCUUGGAAGAAGAAUGCCUUCGUGAAGCAGACGAACCGACGUAGUCGAACGGGUCCUCACAAUCCGGCACGCUGCGGAACUCUAUCGAGACGAAGCAAACCGGAAACACAAUCAACACACGAUAUUCACCACACGAUGCACAACACAUAUGAUGCAUGAGCUACUGAAUACACGCAAUUCACGGCAUGACAAAUCACACAAUCAAACACUACACAUUAAGUGAAGUUCAAUAAGCACGAGUUGCAUAUUGACGAAACUCCACGUUAAUUAUUUAGUUCACUCCCGGUUAUCUACUCGGCAAUAUUAGUGUUGUCAAACAUGCAAGAGGUGAAGCGGAAAUUAAUCUACCUAUCUAGACAUUUUAAAUGAGGUCGGAAAUGACAUAUAGCAUCUCCGAGACGACCUCACAUGUUAAUUAACGAUUCUGUCCAGAACUGAAUUAAUGCAUUUAAUUGGUUGUUAAACAGCAAAACAAAUAGGUUAACGUGAUUCUACGCGUCAAGGCAAGCAAUCUAUACGUAAAGAACAUCUCCAACGGAGCUACGGAUCAAAAGAUACAAGCACCGCAAGAUAUGAUGGCAAAAUGUGUGCAACGGCGGCUACGAGCACUCCAAAACAUACAAACAGCAAGAGAAAAUGAAGCUACACGAGAUUCUAAGCAAGUUUCAUGUAGGACACGAUCAAAUCGGAGCUACGGUUCAAAAACUACGAGCAAAACAAGAAAUAACUACAAACUGCCCAAAACAGCUACAUAGCAACUUCUACGCCUCACAACUCCGGCUACACAACUCCGAUAAACUCAAGCAAGGCAUGGCAUGAAAGAGGGCAAGACGCACUACUACAAACAACUAACAACAACUAGCAUGGCAGCAAGGAGCACUAGGAAAAGAAGACACAAAAUGGCACCUCACGCACUAUUUCAGACUUAGUGAAAAUAACACCUCCUGAAAGUGCACUUUUCAGCCUGAAGCAAUAUUGACAGCAGCAAAACCUAUAGCUACAGGAGUCCAAAAGGCCUGAAAAUUAACAGCAUGCUAGAGAAACAUAAGGGGUACAACUAACUCCAUUGGACCAACCCCAAAAGAUAUACAGAUCACAAGAUGCAAGCAAGACAAGACAGCAACAAAAUAAUAACAGAAUCCAGACUUAGAAAUAUUUCAGCUCCUCUAAAACAGCACUAUUCAAGCAACUUGAGGGCAGUCAAACAACACCUAAACAUGCAUUUCUAUUGCAACUAAAAAUACCAGGGGCUGAACAAAACACCCAAGAUCAACUCUCCCGUUGACAACUAAUUAAAACGAGGCACGGAAUAAAAUCUACGAAUUAAACAAAAGGGCUUCAUGACUAAAUAUCUCGCGAACUAACUUCCUCGAAAGCUAAAACUAAUUGCACAGAAAAAUCCAUGAGAUUUUUCUACCCCGGAAACAUAUAUAAUAUGUGGGGUUUGCAACACGAAAUAAAGCCACACAUUAAUGCGAGAUAAUACCUCUAAACGGGAAAAUAAACUACCGGCACAACCCUACACGGAAAAAUACGAGUGACCGCUCUAAAAUACGCAGAAAUAUGGACCCUAAAACAUGGACAUUAAAUCUAUGGCAUACGGGCAAUCCGGAUGCGCACGAAAAUUAACUACGGAAUGGAUCCUAGCUAAUCAGCACGUAAAACGAGGCAUUAGGCACUCUAAACAGCGUUAAACAAAUAUGCAAGUUUCAAAAUCAGAUUCUACGUGAAAUUCUACACCAAAACGAUAUACGAUACAUCGCGAGCGGACUUACGGAUAUUAAACUACGGACGUUUAAAUAUACGUCUAUAUUCUGGAAUUAAUUAAUUCCUAAAAACCUACAUGGGCCAAAAGGGCAGCGAUAAAUAGCAAAAAUAAAAAAAAGGCGGGGAAUAGCUCACCUUGGGGUGGCUCUCGGGCCGCUGGUGGAGCUGGGCCAGGCGGCAGCUGACCUGGGCCUCGGGGCGACGCAGAGGGAGGCCCAGGCGCUGCGUGCUGCCGGGCCGGGGCGAGCUGGCCCACGUGGCCAGGACGAGGCCGAGCCGGCCUUGGGCGCUGCGGCCCAGGCGCGCUGGCGAGGGCUCCCGUUCCUAGCGCUGGGCGCCGUCGCUCUUCUGGCCGAGGCACAAGCCAUGGCGGCGGCUGAAGAAGUCCGGCACGAAUCCGGCACGGCCGAGGUCUCCGGCGAAGGCUGACUGGAUCCCGGCGGCGGCGGUUGCGGCGCAAGGCGGCGGCCGACGAUGGCCGUGAGGACGACGGGGAAGGCGCGGGGCGGCGACUCCUUGACGGCGGCGGCGCUGCUUCGCCGGAUCUGGCAGCAGCGGGGAGGUUGCGCGGGCUGGCCGAGCUGAGGCAGGGUCGGGCCGGCUCCUCCGGCAGGGCGGUGCAGACCUCCGGAAGGGGCGGCGCUCGGGGCAGGGAGAGAGGAGCUCGGGCGCAGGGAGAUCCAUGGGGCUCGGCUAGGGUUUGCCUCGGGCCCAAUGGGCUUCGGCGGGCUUGACCCGGGCUCGGGCGGGCCCGGCGGCUGGAGGUGGGAGACAGGGGAGAGAGAGUGGCUAGGGUUUGGUGGGGUGGCGUGGAAAACAAGGAGGGAUUAGGGGGAGGCUGUCCCAAAAUAAUAGGAGGGUCUAUUUAUAGACAAAUGGGGGGCUCGGUUAACUGGAAUCGCGCUCCGGAUCCAACCGCGGGGUCGGAUUCGGACGAUUCCGAACGCGAAUAAGGGUACGCGGCCGUGUAGAGGGGUAUCCGGAGACGAGAGGGAGAACGGGCGAUGCGGCACGAAUUUUUAAAACAUCGACAGACGUCCGACGAAUAACCGAAGACAGUGCCGCUACGGGCGACCGUUCGGGUACCAGACGGUCUCCGAUCGCGACGAAAUUCGACGGGCGGCCUCGCUAUAACUAAUCACGACCGCACGUCAAAUCUCAACCCGAUCAGAGAAAGUUUUAAACGCACUUUAAAAACAGGGUUUCGACGGUGCCGCGGACGCGUGCGUGUGCGGUCGGGCUCAGAACGAACAACGACGUGAACCGGCAACUACUAACGAAUGCAAGUUUUGAAAACGGGCGGCAACGGAGAUGCCGAUGCAAUGCCGAUGAUGCGCAUGAUGCGAUUAUGGUGCGACAAAUAAAAUAAAUCACAUGACGAAAACGGAAAGAGAGGGGAAUCUUCUGGAACGUCGGUCUCGGGCUGUCACAAGUGAUCUACGUACCCUUGUAGACCGUACAGCAGAAGCGUUAGUGAACGCGGUUGAUGUAGUGGAACGUCCUCACGUCCCUCGAUCCGCCCCGCGAACCGUCCCGCGAUCAGUCCCACGAUCUAGUGCCGAACAGACGGCACCUCCGCGUUCAGCACACGUACAGCUCGACGAUGAUCUCGGCCUUCCUGAUCCAGCAAGAGAGACGGAGAGGUAGAAGAGUUCUCCGGCAGCGUGACGGCGCUCUAGAGGUUGGUGAUGAUCUUGUCUCAGCAGGGCUCCGCUCGAGCUCCGCAGAAACGCGAUCUAGAGGAAAAACCGUCGAGGUAUGUGGUCGGGCUGCCGUGGAAAAGUCGUCUCAAAUCAGCCCUAAAACCUCCGUAUAUAUGGUGGGAGAGGGGGGGCCUUGCCUUGGGACUCAAGGAGCCCCAAGGGGGUCGGCCGAGCCAAGGGGGAAGGUCUCCCCCCCCCAAACCGAGUCCUACUUGGUUUGGAAGGUGGAGUCCUUCUUCCCUUUCCCACCUCCUCCUUUUUUUUCUCUUUGAUUUUUCUUCCAAUGCGCAUAGGGUCCUUUUGGGCUGUCCCACCAACCCACUAAGGGCUGGUGCGCCACCCUCAAGGCCUAUGGGCUUCCCUGGGGUGGGUUGCCCCCCCCCCCCCCNUGUUUUGUCUAUGUAUCCACACAUGUAAAUGAGUCUUCAUUCAAUACAAUUAUAGCAUGGAUAAUAAACGAUUAUCUUGAUACAGGAAUUAUAAUAAUAACUAUAUUUAUUAUUGCCUCUAGGGCAUAAUUCCAACAGUCUCUCACUUGCACUAGAGUCAAUAAUCUAGCCCUCACAUCAUCAUGCAAAUUACAUUGUAAUAAAUCUAACACCCAUACAGUUCUGGUGUUGAUCAUGCUUUGGCCGUGGAAGAGGUUUAGUCAGCGGGUCUGCUACAUUCAGAUCCGUGUGCACUUUGCAUAUAUUUACGCCCUCCCCUUCGACGUAGUCGCGGAUGAGGUUGAAGCGUAUUUGAUGUGUCUGGACGUCUUGUGAAACCGUGGUUCCUUUGCUAAGGCAAUGGCACCCGUGUUAUCACAGAACAAGUUUAUUGGAUUCAGUGCGCUUGGCACCACUCCAAGAUCCGUCAUGAACUGCUUCAUCCAGACACCCUCCUUAGCCGCCUCCGAGGCAGCCAUGUACUCCGCUUCACAUGUAGAAUCUGCUACGACGCUUUUCUUGGAACUGCACCAGCUUACCGCACCCCCAUUAAGAAUAAAUACGUAUCUGGUUUGCGACUUAGAGUCGUCCGGAUCUGUGUCAAAGCUUGCAUCGACGUAACCUUUUACGGUGAGCUCUCCGUCACCUCCAUACACGAGAAACAUCUCCUUAGUCCUUUUCAGGUACUUCAGGAUAUUCUUGACCGCUGUCCAGUGAUCCACUCCUGGAUUACUCUGGAACCUACCUGCCAUACUUAUGGCCAGGCUAACGUCCGGUCUAGUGCACAACAUUGCAUACAUGAUAGAGCCUAUGGCUGAAGCAUAGGGGACGGAGCGCAUAUGCUCUCUAUCCUCAUCAGUUGCUGGGCACUGAGUCUUACUCAAUCUCGUACCUUGUAAAACUGGCAAGAACCCCUUCUUGGACUGUUCCAUUUUGAACCUCUUCAAAACUUUAUCAAGGUAUGUGCUUUGUGAAAGUCCUAUCAGGCGUUUUGAUCUAUCCCUAUAGAUCUUAAUGCCUAGAAUGUAAGCAGCUUCUCCUAGGUCCUUCAUAGAUAAACUUUUAUUCAAGUAAUCCUUUAUGCUCUCCAAAAACUCUACGUUUUUUCCAAUCAACAAUAUGUCAUCCACAUAUAAUAUUAGAAACGCCACAGAGCUCCCACUCACUUUCUUGUAAAUACAAGAUUCUCCAACCACUUGUAUAAACCCAAAUGCUUUGAUCACCUCAUCAAAGCAUUUAUUCCGACUCCGAGAUGCUUGCACCAGUCCAUAAAUGGAUCGCUGGAGCUUGUACACCUUGUUAGCAUUCUUAGGAUCGACAAAACCUUCGGGUUGCAUCAUAUACAAUUCUUCCUUAAGGAAACCGUUAAGGAACGCCGUUUUGACAUCCAUCUGCCAGAUUUCAUAAUCGAAAAAUGCAGCUAUUGCUAACAUGAUUCUGACGGACUUAAGCAUCGCUAUGGGUGAGAAUGUCUCAUCGUAGUCAACUCCUCACUACUGGAAUCUGCUGGUUUGCCCACAGCCAAAGCUGACGGCAAAGGACAGUUUAACUGAUGGCAAAGGCUUUGCCGUCAGUGAGGUGUCGGCAAAGGUACCGGCCAAGAUUUUAUCGGCAAUCACCUUCUUUGCCGACAGCUGGAGCUCCACCGACGGCAAAGACUUUGCCAUCAGCUUUGUAGCACGGGCUGACGGCAAAGAGCAGUGGCGGCAACGGCGCAGGCCGAGCUCCGUUAGAAGGUUAACGGCAGGCUUUGCCCACAGCCGUAGAAAAGCUGACGGCAAAGCCUCUCCUCUUUGCCCGCAGUCGUAGAAAAGCUGACGGCAAAGCCUCUCCUCUUUGCCCACAGCCGUAGCAAAGCUGACGGCAAAGCCGAAACCCCUAGGCCCCCUAGGUCCCCUCUUUGCCCACAGCCAUAAUAGAGCUGACGGCAAAGCCCCCUUGGCCGCCUCUUUGCCGACAGCUGGAGCCCAGCUGAUGGCAAAGCCGAGAAUUUGGUAUUGCCAGGAUGCACAGGCUGCCGCCACGUGUCUUCUUUGCCUACAGCUCACUGACGGCAAAGGCUUUGCCGUCAGUGAGCUGUAGGCAAAGACCCUCUCUGCUUUUUUUCCAUAUUUGUUUUCUGUUAAUUCCCUGCAUUUGCAAAACAUAGAUACAAACAGCAACAUAUAUAUAUUGAAUCUGCCCCUAAACAGCACCACAAGUGCAUCACGAAGUGCAAACAGCACAACACAAGUGCAAACAGCACGAAUAUAUGUCAUUAAAGUGCAAACAAGAUCACAAAGUAUUACAAAGCAUCACAAGUGCAUCCACAAAUACAAUUGCAUUACAAAGUUCAUCUAGGACUACACAAGUGCAUUACAAAGUCUCGAGCAUCCAUCCAUAUGCCAUGCUGCUUCAUCAAAAUCUGCAUAAUGAGAAAGAAUUUAGAAGAAGAAUACAAUAAGAAAGAAGUUAUCUAAAUUAAGCUAAGCAAUUAGAAGAAGAAGUGGAAGAAGAAGAAGAACAAGAAGAAGAAGUGGAAGGAGUGGAAGCUGAAGAAGAAGAAGAAGAUAGAAUUUACUAAGCUAACUAAACCAUGACGGCAUUUAUAAUGAGGCAUUUUUGAUUUUUGAGCUCUAAUAUCAACUAGAAUUUCUACACGAAGGCUAUUGGUUGCAUCCUCCCUCUUAUGGAUGCUGAGUAUACCAGUUUCUACACGAAGGGUGUGAUGGCAGUCUUAAUCAGAGAAUUCAAGUCCCCAGAUGAGGAGAUGAAGAAGAUUGUCCUGAAGGUUGUGAAGAAGUGUGCCAGCACAGAGGGUGUACAGGCUGAUUAUAUCCGGAGUCAGUGUGUCAUCAGCACACAGUGUUUAGAUCCUGAUUGUAUCCGUAGUCACACCGUUCUUUCCUGACUGGUGAUACAGAAUCAGUAGGUGGUGGUGACCAAACAAUGGUAAAACCCAGGGAUGACAACUCCUUGGCCUUUGUACCAAGUCCUUUGUACCAAGUUCAACAUACCACUUUCCUGACUUAUGUGACUCCCAGUUAAAUCCUUGGCACAAUAUUUCAAAACCAGAUCCAGUGCCAGAACAAGCUGGCUUCACAGUUUCUGGGCCAUCAAUGUAAACAGAGUCUUCUACGGCAUCAAUAGUGGGGCUCCUAAAAAUGCUAUAUGCUUCAGCUGCUAACCUCUCAAUUUCUUGCAGAAUAUCUUCUUGCAGAACUUUAUUCUUUGCUCGUUGACCUCUUCUAGAUGACAGGCCAACCACCAGAUUUCUUAUAUCACUGAUUAGGCCAUCGGUUUGCACAGACUUAUCAUCAGCCUUAUGAGGCUCUCGAGUGCUGCCAACUUGCUCCACCCUCGUAAGAGGAACAUAGAAAUCAAAUCCAUUCUCCAGAUUUCUCAACCAAGUAUGCUCAUUAAGUUUAAGCACGAAAACAAGACCGGUGUAGUCUGCAUCCAGUAGAAAUGAUACAGCGUUGCCUGUACCAUCAGUUUUUUGCUGCAGCACCAGGCAAGAUGUGUAAAUAGGAAUAGCUAACUCAUUUUCAGGCAGUUUAAGGUACUAGUAGAUCUCAAUAAUAAUACAUAAUACUCCAUGAAUGGAAGGAAACAAGAAAAAAAAAUGGCAGCCCCCCCCCCCCCAAUACUCCAUGACUCUGUUGAAUAACCUGAAGGUGCAGGAGCGACAGAACCGUGUUUGCACGACUGUAGCAAUUGCUAUUGUUGUUGAAACAUGCUCGCCGUUCACAGUUUUGCCUGCCCUCAUGAAUGAGUACCGGGUUCCGGAGCUCAAUAUCCAGAAUGGUGUUUUGAAAUCUCUCUCUUUCCUCUUUGAGUAUAUUGGUGAGAUGGGCAAAGAUUACAUAUAUGCAGUCGCUCCCUUGCUUGAAGAUGCUCUGAUGGACUGGGAUCUAGUUCACAGGCAGACUGCUGCGUCCGCUGUCAAACAUAUGGCUCUAGGAGUUGUAGGCUUGGGUUGUGAGGAUGCUCUUGUCCAUUUGCUCAACUUUCCCCAUCUCAUAAAUGCCGUCAUGGAAGCUAUCGAGGGGAUGCGAGUUGUUGUAGGCAUUUUUUAUUUUUGAGCUCUAAUAUCAACUAGAAUUUACUAAGCUAACUAAACCAUGGCUAAUAUCAACUAGAUUUUACUAAGCUAACUAAAGCCUGGCAUAAUCUAAGUUGAUCUAAACAAUAAGAACAAUAAGAAGGAGAGGAAUAACUUACCAAAUGCCAGGAAACGAAGGAGAAGCUGCAUCUCCGUUGGUCGCUGGGUUGCUAGGGCUCUCACCAGGAGAAGUAAAGGGAUCGUGGGAUUCAACUCUUGAAUGAUGCUGCAACAAGGCAAGAGUUAAAAUAUGUGGUUAGCACGGCAACAGACAAUGGUAUAAGACCGUGCAAGGUUGGUCAUUGAAAGGGAACUCACCGUUCCCACCGGAGAAGGCAUCGGCGGAGGGGGCGGCAAACCUUGCUUCUCACACAUAGCCUGCAAAUUAGUUUUCGAGAAGUCAAAGAAAUAGCCUUGUUGCGUCUCACACAUAGCCUUGCUUCUCACACAACUGACUUACCGCAACGAAGUCGUACAUGGCCUUCGCAUGGGCAUUAUUGCGUGCCCUCUCCUCGUCAAGCAACCUCUGCGUAUUCCGGUCCCUCUCCUCCAACAAGAGCCUGGUGGCCUCCCUCUCCUUCAUAAGUGCGGCCUGCAACCCCUCCUCAAAAGGAAUUUUCAUCAUCCAUCCAGGGACAAAAGAACGAAAGAAAUAAUGAAGAAAACUAACCUCGAUGGCAAGAUCAACUGGCCUCGCGCGUUGCCGUAUUGCAGGAGCGGAGCUCGUUUGCCUCGACUUGAUCUGAGAUAGAGUCUCAGUGAUAGGGACGAAGCCAUCACACAUGGCCAGCGUGCCAUGACUCUUACCGCCACCAGAGAUCAUUAACGCCUCUGGAUCGAUAGGAAAAUCUUUCGACAUUCAGUCUUUGUCUUCGGCUCCCCUUGCUUGGCGUACCAAUCUCGAACAGCCUGAACACGCAGCUCGUGCCUCGUGUUAUUCAAUAAACUCUUGCACUUUUUCACGAGGUUCUUCUUGGCCGCCUCCUCCAUCCCCUCCUCGACCCUAAAGUAACUCUGCAAUUAUGCCAAAUAGAUGCACAGAUGAAUAGUGAAAUGAUUUGGAAGGAAAUAACAAUAUAUAACAUUGUAUACUUUUUAUUGGGUAAAAUAAUAGUUACCCAAAAAUCAGCCAACACCUUGUCGGCCACGCUCACGCAAACAACACCAUUGACAUGUGUGUUUUCCGGGAGCAGAGCGGCUUGGUAGUGCUCCCACUUGAGUCCUGGCUCGGGAACCAUACCCUCACCGGGCAACUGCACUAUCCCGGGGAAGUGCUCCCUAAGUAAAGCACCAAGGAGGCAGUUUGGAUUCCGGGUAUUCUGCGGGUAAUCCCAUCCCCUACAUAAUGAUAAGGCAAAGACAUUAGCUACUUGGUGAAAUAUAAUGAUAUAAGGUACACAAUAUAUAUCAACUUACUUCUCGCCUUCUGGCUUAAUUAACGGCCUGUGCUGCAAGUCCAAUCGGUCUGGAACUCGUGUCAUACCACGUUGGUAGACCGACUUGCUGGCAGCCCCCUCAGCCUCCGCCUCAGCACCCUCCGCCUCAGCCUCCGCCUCAGCACCCUCCGCCUCAGCCUCCGCCUCAGCCCCCUGCAUCGGUGUCUCCUCCUGGACGGUAGGAUCCCGCACCGGUGACACCCUCGUCUGCAAGGGUGAAGUGGCUGAGACAGAAGUAGCCGAGGGUGGUGGCGACUGGCUCCUAUCAUGCAGCCUCCCUCUCCCAUGACCACGUCCUCUGCCUCUCUUCUUUCCUACGCCUCUCCCACGGGGCUCCUCGGCAAAGCUCUGCAACAAAGUUCUCCGUAGCUGCCCAGGUGCUAUCCUCAACUUAUCCCCGCCUGCCAUGUCUCACCACCUGUAACGAUAAAUAGUUAAAUAAUAAGUACAAAUUCAAGGACAAUAAUUAAAUGAACAAUAAUAAAUACAUGAAUAAUUCAACUAAUAAUUGAAUAAUUAAACAACAAUGUUUGGAUGCAUACAAAGUACUAAUAGUCUGGAUCAUCUGUCUCUUCUCCAUGGUCAAUUGAAGCAAAAUCAUCAUCAGUAUCACACGUGUCGUCAUGACUGAUAUCGUCAUCGGGUUCAAGGACAUCAUGUGGAAGGCCUUUUUGUAACCGAUCAAGCAUUGAUAGCUCAUCGGCAUUGGUAACUUCUUCUACUUCCACUUCUUCCUCAUCAUCACGUGAGUCUUGUUCCUCCGUGUUCAGGGUGGACGUAGAGCAGUUUCGGGUACGACGUCUGACACCACGUGAUUCUUGGAAAAAUUCUCCAUCAUAUGUUAUUGGGUCAAUUUGAGGUUCAUAAUCGUCUUCAUUUGGGGGAGGUGGUCUAAGAUGUGGCGGCACAUCGAACACGACAUACCAACCUUCUAGGUUCUUAACACUUUGACAACAGUAUGGCAGAUAGAAAACUUGGGUGGCCUAUUGAGCCACAAUAUAGACAUCGGCACCGCUUAACUGCCUGUCUUGUCGAAUUUCGACAAUCCCAAGAUGUUCAUGAGUCCGUCUUGUCUUAGUAGGAUCGAACCAAUGACAUUUGAACACAACAACGUUCGGAGGAUUUUCACCAUAAUAAUGAAGUUCGUAGACUUCUUCAAGUCUUCCAUAAUACUCGACACCUCCCUCGCCUACAGCAGAGACACCGGAAUUGUUUGUUUUUCGACCGGGCAUUGAAAGCUCUUUGCUAGUAGUACGAAAGCGAUACCCGUUGAUGUCGUACUUCUGAAAUGUACGGACCUUAAAGUCAAAACCAUUAGCUAUUUGUCUCAAUUCAUCGUCGACUUGCUCAUCUGAAUUAGCCUAGAAGUUAAGAAAAGAUAGAGUUUGGUGUGUUACUCAUGAGUAAUAGCAACAAAGGAAAUCACUUAUUAUAUAUAAGGGAGGUACCUUUUUUUGAACCAAGAGAUGAAACCGGGAUAGCCGCCUCCUGUCUUUUCAAGAAGUUCAUACUCGAGAAUGGAUUCUUUCUCGAUUGCAACACCAUUCGAGAAUUGUUCGACGUAUCGACUGUAUCAAUUAAUAAUAGUUGUUAGACACAAAACUUGUUAAAAGUUGCGAAACAAUGUACAGAGCACUUACUCGAUGUAUGGCCGAACUUCUGUUAAAUUGUUCAAUAUAUACAUCGUUAGUGUGCGCCACUCCUCGACGCACAGCAACUUUGGUUUUCCCACACCAGAAGGUGCGAGCUUCCCUUUGAAAAGGCUGAGAUUGGAUUCACGUCGUUUGGGGUCGCCCAGAUUGUACCGAGGCUUUGGAUUAUGCAAGUUGUGCAUAGUGGCAUCAUAGUGUGUUGUUACGAAAUUUGCCGCCUCCUCGGUAAUGAACGCCUCGGCCAUCGAUGCUUCAAUUCUACGUUUAUUUUUACAUUUUCCUCGAAGUGUCUUCUGCAUUCUUUCAGUUGCGUAGCACCAACGAUUUUGCACAGGGCCACCCAAUCUUGCCUCGGUUGGGAGAUGCAAAAUCAUGUGUUGCAUCGGAUUAAAGAAGCCCGGUGGAAAAAUCUUCUCUAACUUGCAGAGCAACUCAGGCGCCAACUCUUCCAUGUCAUCUAUCAAGGCACGCGACAACUCUUUAGCACAAAGAACACGGAAGAAAUAGCUCAACUCGGCCAAUACUAGCCAUUCAGCCUCGGGGAUAUAGCCACGCAACAUCACCGGCAUUAUCCGCUCAAGCCAUAUGUGCCAAUCAUGACUCUUGAGCCCAAAAAUUUUCAUUUUUUCAAUGCUCGCUCCCCUCGCUAGAUUCGCAGCAUACCCAUCGGGGAACAACAACUUUUUUUGCACCCACAAGAGGAUUUCCCUUAUUGCUCCCUUCUCAAGAUUGUACCAGGCAGGUGGUUUGGACCAAUUUUUUCUUCCUUUCGGUUCUCGCAUGUUUAGUGAUGGCCUAUCACACAGAGUCUCCUGGUCAACUCUCGCCUUUGUAUUAUCUUUGCCCUUAUCAGUGCCAAAAAAUGUGCCAAGAAGGGCCUCGGCGAUAUUAUUUUCAGUGUGCAUCAUGUCAAUGUUGUGUGGAAGUAAGAGGUCUUCGAAGUAGGGGAGAUCCCAGAUGCAUGGCUUGUGGGUCCAGGCGUGUUCCUCAUUAUAACCCAAGAAAUACCCUGGACGGUUUGGAUCAGGCUCCAUAGAUUUUAACUGUUCGUUAAUUUGUGCCCCCGUCAACGCAGGUGGUGCAGAGUGUUUGACAACUUUACCUUUCAUGAAAUUCUUGUUGUCUUUUCUGAAUGGAUGGUCCAUAGGCAAGAACUGUCUAUGCAAGUCAAAGCAGGAAUACUUCCCACCCGCCGGCAACCAAUGAAACUUAAGAGCUGCCUUGCAUUGUGGGCAUGGGAACCUUCCAUGCACACACCAGGCAACGAAAAGCGCAAAUGCUGGCAGAUCAUGCAACGAGUAUUGGUACCAAACAUACAUUUGAAAGUUCUCUUUCUUAGCUGCGUCGUAUGUGUUGACCCCAUUCACCCAAGCUUCUUUCAAGUCAUCCAUCAGCGGUUGCAUGUACACACUCAUAUUCUUCCCCGGGUAUUUUGGCCCUGGAACUAUCAACGUCAGAAAUAUGUGCUUUCUUUGCAUAAUGGAUGAUGGUGGAAGAUUGAGGGGAAUGACAAAUACAGGCCAGCAACUAUAUUGGGUAGCCGUCAUACCAAAAGGAUUGAACCCAUCGAGGCUGAUGGCGAUUCGACAAUUCCUUGGUUCUUUAGCUUUUUCCUUAUGUAUACUAUCGAAUGCCUUCCAUGCGUCACCAUCUGAAGGGUGUACCAACAUCGGAACUCCGUGAUCAUCUAAUUCUUUCCUAAUUCCAUGUUUGUGCCAUGUCAUCUGUUUUGCUGUUUCUUCGAGCAUGUAAAGUCGUUGAAGUCUUGGUAGGAUCGGCAGAUACCGUAGGACACUCACGGGGAUUUUGCUCUGCUUCUUCUCACCUUCACCGUUUUCUACCUCAACAUAUCUGGAGGACUUGCAAAAUGGACAAUAUGUUUCCUCCGCAUACUCUUUCCUAAAUAAGGCACAUCCCUUCUCACAAGCAUGUAUCUGCUCAUACGGCAUCUUGAGUGCACUAAGGAUUUUGUCUGACUCAUAUAGGUUUGAAGGCAUAAUAUGACCUUCUGGUAAAAAGCGCCCAAAUAGGGUCAUCACUGAGUCAAACAUAUCUCUUCCAAUGUUGAACUGGGCUUUCAGAGCCAUUACUUGUGCGAUGGCAUCUAGCUGAGAAAUCUUAGUGUGCUCGUGAAGAGGACAUUUUGAAGACUCCAACAUGGCAUAGAAGGCUUUCGCGGAUUCCUCCAUCUCUUCGUCCUUGUUCCGAGCAUCAUCAAAGUCAUUCACCAUGUCUUCAAUCCCUGUACCAUGAUCAUCGGUGCGCCGACGCAACACCUCGUCUCUGUUACGUUGGGCCGACUCACCAUGAAAUGUCCACAAGGUAUAGCCGGGAGUAAAACCACGCAUCUGCAGGUGUUUACCCAUUACAUCCUUUGUCUGUCGCGAAUAAUUCUUGCACUUAGUGCAGGGGCACCAUGUUUUUGGCUGGCCUUUAGAAAACGCCGUUUCCACGAAUUCAUAGGUUUUGCUCAACCAUUCAUCGGUCAUAUCUCUCUGACUAUGGUGACCGGUGUACAUCCAUUCACGAUCAGUCAUUCUGGCAAGCUAGCUACAUAGUAUCCACAUAUAAAACAAUAUAAAAUAUCAAUUCAUCAAGUAUGUUAAAUUAAUUAUGGCCAUUUUUUAAUCAUGGUUAAUACAUUGGGAUGCACGGCAUGCACACCUACCAGCUACUAGGUAAAGAUAGGUCCUAAUCCCACCCGAGUAUGUGUAGAUUGGGUCAUUUCCCACUGCUCUGCUCCCGACCCAACGCAAAAUUUCGGCAGCACCUCCCCGCUGUUCUCCUGAUACACGUCUCGACAACUAACCGAGAGGAUGUGUACCCGGAGAACAACAAGGAGGAGCUGUCGAAACUCUGCAUGGGAUCCGGAGCAAAGCGUGGGAAACGACCCAAUCUACACAUACUCGGGCUGUCCAUGGAUAACGUUGGACAAUUCGAAAGAAUCACCGUUAUAAAUAUGCAAAUGCAUGCAUAUUUAUGACAGGAACCCUUUCGAAUGGGAGACGCAUAUUGGUUACGCAACACCUUUGCAUUUUAAUACUAAAAAUACCUAGCUAGAUAGUGUCAUCAGCACGAAGGCCGGAACAGAGCAAAAUAAAGGGGGUGGAGGAGGAGUUAACAAAUGUGCUCACUUUCGAAUGCAGGGGAGGUCGUCGAAAACCAAUCCCUCGCGGAGAAGCUACUGCACAUUUAAAUGCACUCAAUCAACACAAGAAAUUCCUACAUUAAUUAGAAAUUAGGAGCCGUUAAUCUGGUGGGACCAAGUUAUUACGGUGUAGAUUACUCUAUAUAAUAUGAAGUUUGCAAUAUAUAUUAUGUUAUUUUUAUACUAUGGAAAUACCAGAUAUUUCCAAUUCAAUCUCUCACAUAUCCGUUUUUGUCAGUUACGCAUCCCUCACGUAUCUCUAUCUCAAAAAAUAAUAUCUCUAACGUAUCUCUCUCUCUCUAGGCAUCAGACUACCAAUGCAUUUAUAUUGGCAUAAUUUACAUCGCGUGUCUAUCCUCUCAUUAUAUAAGGGGAACCGCUAGGCAUCAGACUACCAAUGCAUAGCUUCCCAUCAAACCAGGCCAUUGGAUCAAAACAUCUGGAGCGUUGGAUGCAUUCCUGUAACAGCGCCGGCACCUGCCUUGGUAAUUGUUGAAACGAAUCCUUUAUUUUCAAUUCCUUCCAUAUAUCUUAUGUCCCUAAAAUCACGUAUGCACACAGCGUGGUCGAGUCCUAGGAUUGUUAGCUACGUGCAAGGGGCUCCACAAAUUGAGAUUUUGUUUGUUGUAAAAACUUCCAUGAAGCGCGUACAAUAUUUUUUUAAACAUAUACAAUCUGCUAUAGACUUUGUGCUUCGAAACUGGAUAGGAUUUGUUUUUUGAAAUAUAACAGUUUGUUUCCGAGACAACGAACUGUUUUCCCAAGGAUAUGAAAUUUGCUUCCAUUGCGAUUUAAAUUUGCUUCAAUCUGAAAAUUAUUUUAGUGCAAUGGUUUAUUUUCAACGCAGCAAAACAAUGUUUCGUGGAAACGAAAAAUUAUCUCAAUUGCUACUGAGAUUUGCUUCAUAGGUUCAUGCUUCCCAGAUUAUUGAUUUACUGAAAUUGCAUGCUUCAUGAUUUCUAGGUUCCUCUCGACUAAACACUUAAAAGUUGGAUUCAGUAGGGUUCUUCCAAUGUUAUAGUUGUAAGCUUCGUAGCCAUUUUUUCCUCAAAAUAUGUAUAAUUUUCUAAUAAGAAUGCUAUGAGAUGCCAUUUUAUUUUUAGUUGCUCCUACAAUAUAGCCCUGAUGCUUGAAAUGUUGGAGCACAAAAGUGAAAUUUGCUUCUAAUACAAUUAGUUUUUUUAACUACAUUACAAGUUUUCAUCGACUCAAUUUCCUUCGACAAUAACAUAAAUUAUUUUCAUCAUUUGUGUUGAAUGAUUUGCGUCUGAUUGUGUUGUAAGUAGAUACCCCUUCGAAAUAAAUUUUCAUUAUUAUGCAGUUCUCAUUGUUUCCUUUAUGGGAUAUGCUUCGACAGCAAUGAAAUAUUGCUUCCACAGCAAUGAACCACAGCAAUGAACCACAGCAAUGAAAUCUUGUUGGUAGUAUACUCUGGCAGCUUUACAACACAUAGAAAAAUCUGCAACGGAGGGUCAUGUGGAGAGCUGGAGGAAGAAGUUGGGAGGCCGAACCUCUGGCGCGGACGACCGGCGGGAGGGAGAGGCGGGGGCCGCGGAGGAGGGGAGGAGGGGGGGGNGGCGGCGCGAGGGGCGGCGUGCGAGAGCUGCGCGCAGCGCGUGCACGGGAGAUGAAGCAGAAAGCUGCAGCGCGUGCACGGCAAAGACAGGUCACGGGGGGAUAAGGCAAAAAAAAACGGGGGCCUCUUUGCCCUCAGCCAGCUGUCGGCAAAGACAGCCGUUAGUCUUUGCCCUCAGCUGGCUGUAGGCAAAGAAGGCCCCCGUUUUUUUUUCCUGGCCGAGGCGGCGACUGGGUUAGCCCCUAUGCCGUCAUUCUUGCUAUGCCGACAGCUUUUUUGUCCUUUGCCGUCAGCUGGCUACCGGCUUAGAUAAAGCGGACGGCAUAUAUUUUAUUUGCCGUCAGCCCUUCCUAUGCCGUCAGCAUUUAUUUUGGCUGAGGGCAAAGUCUCUUUGCCCUCAGCCCCGUAAAAUUGCUGACGGCAAAGCUUAAAGCUGUCGGCAAACUAACAGAUUCCAGUAGUGCCUUGAACUUGUGAAAAACCCUUUGCCACAAGUCGAGCUUUAUAAACGGUCACAUUGCCGUCAGCGUCCGUCUUCCUCUUAAGGAUCCAUUUGUUCUGAAUAGCCUUGCGGCCCUCAGGCAGUACCUCCAAAGUCCACACUUUGUNNNNNNNNNNNNNNNNNNNNNNNNNNNNNNNNNNNNNNNNNNNNNNNNNNNNNNNNNNNNNNNNNNNNNNNNNNNNNNNNNNNNNNNNNNNNNNNNNNNNNNNNNNNNNNNNNNNNNNNNNNNNNNNNNNNNNNNNNNNNNNNNNNNNNNNNNNNNNNNNNNNNNNNNNNNNNNNNNNNNNNNNNNNNNNNNNNNNNNNNNNNNNNNNNNNNNNNNNNNNNNNNNNNNNNNNNNNNNNNNNNNNNNNNNNNNNNNNNNNNNNNNNNNNNNNNNNNNNNNNNNNNNNNNNNAGGUUCAUUGUUGUCCAACAACAUGAUUGAUAAGACGGGAUUACCGUACCACUCUGGAGCAGCACGUGGUCUCGUCGACCUGCGUGGUUCGACAGAAACUUGAACCGGAGUUUCAUGAUCAUCAUCAUUAACUUCCUCCUCAAUCGGUGUCGCGGCGACAGAGGUUUCCCCUUGCCAUGCGCCACCAUCCAGAGGGAUGAGAGGUUCGACAACCUCGUCAAGUUCUAUCUUCCUCCCACUCAAUUCUCUCGAGAGAAACUCCUUCUCGAGAAAAGCUCCGUUUUUAGCAACAAACACUUUGCCCUCGGAUUUGAGAUAGAAGGUGUACCCAACUGUCUCUUUUGGGUAACCUAUGAAGAUGCACUUUUCCGCUAUGGGUUCCAGCUUUUCAGGCUGAAUCUUUUUGACAUAAGCAUCACAUCCCCAAACUUUAAGAAACGACAAUUUUGGCCUUUUGCCAUACCACAGUUCAUAUGGUGUCGUCUCAACGGAUUUUGAUGGUGCCCUAUUUAAAGUGAAUGCAGCUGUUUCUAAUGCAUAACCCCAAAACGAUAACGGCAAAUCAGUAAGAGACAUCAUAGAUGGCACCAUCUCUAAUAAAGUACGAUUACGACGUUCGGACACACCAUUACGUUGUGGUGUUCCAGGCGGUGUCAACUGUGAAACAAUUCCACAUUGUCUUAAGUGAGCACCAAACUCGAAACUCAGAUAUUCACCCCCACGAUCAGAUCGUAGGAACUUGAUCUUCUUGUUACGAUGAUUUUCAACUUCACUCUGAAAUUGCUUGAACUUUUCAAAUGUUUCAGACUUGUGCUUCAUUAAGUAGACAUAACCAUAUCUACUCAAAUCGUCAGUGAAGGUGAGAAAAUAACAAUAUCCGUCGCGUGCCUCUAUGCUCAUCGAACCACACACAUCGGUAUGUAUGAUUUCCAACAAGUCACUUGCACGCUCCAUUGUUCCGGAGAACGGAGUUUUAGUCAUCUUGCCCAUGAGUCAUGGUUCGCACGUGUCAAGUGAAUCAAAGUCAAGUGACUCCAAAAGUCCAUCGGCAUGGAGUUUCUUCAUGCGCUUUACACCAAUAUGACCUAAGCGGCAGUGCCACAAAAAUAUGGCGCUAUCAUUGUUAACUCUAACUCUUUUGGUCUCAGUGUUAUGUAUGUGUGUAUUGCUAUCAAGAUUCAAUAUGAACAAUCCUCUCACAUUGGGUGCAUGACCAUAAAAGAUGUUACUCAUAGAAAUAGAACAACCAUUAUUCUCUGACUUAAAAGAGUAACCGUCUCGCAAUAAACAAGAUCCAGAUAUAAUGUUCAUGCUCAACGCAGGCACUAAAUAACAAUGAAACUGUGCCGACGGCGAUUGCAUCAACCUUGGAACAAUUUCCUACGCGCAUCGUCACUUCAUCUUUCGCCAGCCUUCGUCUAUUCCGCAGUUCCUGUUUCGAGUUGCAAAUAUGAGCAACAGAACCGGUAUGGAAUAACCAGGCACUACUACGAGAGCCGGUUAAGUACACAUCAAUAACAUGUAUAUCAAAUAUACCUGAUUUUUCUUUGGCCGCCUUCUUAUCUGCCAGAUACUUGGGGCAAUUGCGCUUCCAGUGACCCAUACCCUUGCAAUAGUAACACUCUGUUUCAGGCUUAGGUCUAGCUUUGGGUUUCUUCGUCGGAUUGGCAACAGGCUUGCCGCUCUUCUUUGAAUUACCCUUCUUGCCUUUGUCGUUUCUCUUGAAACUAGUGGUCUUAUUCACCAUCAACACUUGAUGCUCUUUACGGAGUUCAGACUCUGCGACUUUCAGCAUCACAAACAACUCGCCAGUAGACUUGUUCAUCCCAUGCAUGUUGUAGUUCAACACAAAGCCUUUAUAGCUUGGCGGCAGUGAUUGAAGGAUUCUGUCAGUGAUAGCCUCUUGCAGGAGUUCAAUCCCCAGCUCAUCUAGACGGUUUGAGUACCCAGACAGUUUGAGCACAUGUUCACUAACAGACGAGUUCUCCUCCAUCUUGCAAGCAUAGAAUUUAUCGGAGGUCUCAUACCGGAACAUCUCAAAUGCUCCAUGACGCUCAAAGCGACGAUGAAGUCCCGGUUCUAAGCCAUACAAGACUGCACAUUGAACUACUGAGUAGUCCUCCUUACGUGUUAACCAAGCGUUCUUAACAUCCUGAUCAGCCGUAGCGGGUGGUUCAUCUCCUAGCCCGGCAUUAAGGACAUAAUCCUUCUUCCCAGCUUGUAAGAUUAGCUUAAGAUUACGAGCCCAGUCUACAAAGUUGCUUCCAUCAUCUUUCAACUUAGCUUUCUCUAGGAACGUAUUAAAAUUCAGGGUGACUAUCGCGUGAGCCAUGAUCUACAACACAAAUAUAUUCAAAGUGGACUUAGACUAUGUUCAAGAUAAUUAGAGUUUAACUUCAUCAAAUUAUUCGCUAAACUCCCACUCAAAAGUACAUCUCUCUAGUCAUUUGAGUGGUUCAUGAUCCACUUACACUAGCUCAAGUCCGAUCAUCACGUGAGUUGAGGAUAGUUUCAGUGGUAAGCAUCCCUAUGCUAAUCAUAUCAUCUAUAUGAUUCAUGAUCGACCUUUCGGUCUCAUGUGUUCCGAGGCCAUGUCUCCACAUGCUAGGCUCGUCAAGCUUAACCCAAGUGUUCCGCGUGUGCAACUGUUUUGCACCCGUUGUAUGUGAACGUUGAGUCUAUCACACCCGAUCAUCACGUGGUGUCUCGAAACGACGAACUGUAGCAAUGGUGCAUAGUCGGGGAGAACACAAUUUCGUCUUGAAAUUUUAGUGAGAGAUCACCUCAUAAUGCUACCGUCGUUCUAAGCAAAAUAAGGUGCAUAAAAGGAUUAACAUCACAUGCAAUUCAUAAGUGACAUGAUAUGGCCAUCAUCACGUGCUCCUUGAUCUCCAUCACCAAAGCACCGGCACGAUCUUCUUGUCAUCGGCGCCGCACCAUGAUCUCCAUCAACGUGUCGCCAUCGGGGUUGUCGUGCUACUCAUGCUAUUACUACUAAAGCUACAUCCUAGCAAAAUAGUAAACGCAUCUGCAAGCACAAACGUUAGUAUAAAGACAACCCUAUGGCUCCUGCCGGUUGCCGUACCAUCGACGUGCAAGUCGAUAUAAUCUAUUACAACAUGAUCAUCUCAUACAUCCAAUAUAUCACAUCACAUCGUUGGCCAUAUCACAUCACAAGCAUACCCUGCAAAAACAAGUUAGACGUCCUCUAAUUUUGUUGUUGCAUGUUUUACGUGGUGACCAUGGGUAUCUAGUAGGAUCGCAUCUUACUUACGCAAACACCACAACGGAGAUAUAUGAGUUGUUAUUUAACCUCAUCCAAGCACCUCCUCGGUCAAAUCCGAUUCAACUAAAGUUGGAGAAACUGACACUUGCCAGUCAUCUUUGAGCAACGGGGUUACUCGUAGCGAUGAAACCAGUCUCUCGUAAGCGUACGAGUAAUGUCGGUCCAAGCCGCUUCAAUCCAACAAUACCGCGGAAUCAAGAAAAGACUAAGGAGGGCAGCAAAACGCACAUCACCGCCCACAAAAACUUUUGUUUUCUACUCGAGAAGACAUCUACGCAUGAACCUAGCUCAUGAUGCCACUGUUAGGGAACGUCGCACGGGAAACAAAAAAUUUCCUACGCGCACGAAGACCUAUCAUGGUGAUGUCCAUCUACGAGAGGGGAUGAGUGAUCUACGUACCCUUGUAGACCGUACAGCAAAAGCGUUAGUGAACGCGGUUGAUGUAGUGGAACGUCCUCACGUCCCUCGAUCCGCCCCGCGAACCGUCCCGCGAUCAAUCCCGCGAUCAGUCCCACGAUCUAGUGCCGAACGGACGGCACCUCCGCGUUCAGCACACGUACAGCUCGACGAUGAUCUCGGCCUUCUUGAUCCAGCAAGAGAGACGGAGAGGUAGAAGAGUUCUCCGGCAGCGUGACGGCGCUCCGGAGGUUGGUGAUGAUCUUGUCUCAGCAGGGCUCCGCCCGAGCUCCGCAGAAACGCGAUCUAGAGGAAAAACCGUGGAGGUAUGUGGUCGGGCUGCCGUGGAAAAGUCAUCUCAAAUCAGUCCUAAAACCUCCGUAUAUAUAGGUGGGAGAGGGGGGCCUUGCCUAGGGGCUCAAGGAGCCCCAAGGGGGUCGGUCGAGCCAAGAGGGAAGGUCUCCCCCCCCCAAAACCGAGUCCUACUUGGUUUGGAAGGUGGAGUCCUUCUUCCCUUUCCCACCUCCUCCUUUUUUUUCUUUUUCUCUUUGAUUUUUCUUCCAAUGCGCAUAGGGUCCUUUUGGGCUGUCCCACUAGCCCACUAAGGGCUGGUGCGCCACCCUCAAGGCCUAUGGGCUUCCCCGGGGUGGGUUGCCCCCCCCCCUGGUGAACUCCCGGAACCCAUUCGUCAUUCCCGGUACAUUCCCGGUAACUCCGAAAACCUUCCGAUAAUCAAAUGAGGUCAUCCUAUAUAUCAAUCUUCAUUUCUGCACCAUUUCGGAAGCCCUGGUGAAGUCUGUGAUCUCAUCCGGGACUCCGAACAACAUUCAGUAACCAACCAUAUAACUCAAAUACGCAUAAAACAACGUCGAACCUUAAGUGUGCAGACCCUGCGGGUUCGAGAACUAUGUAGACAUGACCCGAGAGACUCCUCAGUCAAUAUCCAAUAGCGGGACCUGGAUGCCCAUAUUGGAUCCUACAUAUUCUACAAAGAUCUUAUCGUUUGAACCUCAGUGCUAAGGAUUCAUAUAAUCCCGUAUGUCAUUCCCUUUGUCCUUCGGUAUGUUACUUGCCCGAGAUUCGAUCGUCAGUAUCCGCAUACCUAUUUCAAUCUCGUUUACCGGCAAGUCUCUUUACUCGUUCCGUAAUACAAGAUCCCGCAACUUACACUAAGUCACAUUGCUUGCAAGGCUUGUGUGUGAUGUUGUAUUACCGAGUGGGCCCCGAGAUACCUCUCCGUCACACGGAGUGACAAAUCCCAGUCUUGAUCCAUACUAACUCAACGAACACCUUCGGAGAUACCUGUAGAGCAUCUUUAUAGUCACCCAGUUCCGUUGCAACGUUUGAUACACACAAAGUAUUCCUCCGGUGUUAGUGAGUUAUAUGAUCUCAUGGUCAUAGGAACAAAUACUUGACACGCAGAAAAUAGUAGCAACAAAAUGACACGAUCAACAUGCUACGUCUAUUAGUUUGGGUCUAGUCCAUCACGUGAUUCUCCUAAUGACGUGAUCCAGUUAUCAAGCAACAACACCUUGUUCAUAAUCAGAAGACACUGACUAUCUUUGAUCAACUGGCUAGCCAACUAGAGGCUUGCUAGGGACAGUGUUUUGUCUAUGUAUCCAAACAUGUAAAUGAGUCUUCAUUCAAUACAAUUAUAGCAUGGAUAAUAAACGAUUAUCUUGAUACAGGAAUUAUAAUAAAAACUAUAUUUAUUAUUGCCUCUAGGGCAUAAUUCCAACAACUCCAUGGUGAUUUGUGUGGCCCUAUCACCCCGGAAACUCAUGAAGGAAUAAAGUACUUCUUCCUUGUGGUAGAUGUCUAUUCGAGAUAUAUGUGGGUCGUUCUCCUAUGAUCUAAAGACGGGUCGUUUGAAGCGUUCUAGAAGUUAAAAGGUGCAGCAGAGAUGGAACACAAGCUGAAGGUUCGCGCUCUAUGGACAGAUCCCGGCGGAGAGUUUACGUCGAACGAGUUCAACGACUACUAUGAGAAUAUUGGCAUAAAAAGGUUCCUCGCGGCACCUUACACGCUGCAACAGAACAGGGUCAUUGAGAGGCGCAAUCGAACCGUUGUUGACAUGGCAAGGAGUUUACUCAAGAGCAAGAACCUGUCGGGAACUUUUUGGGGGAGAAGAUGUCUCGACGGCGGUCUAUCUUCUCAACCGGGAUCCAACGAAGGCGGUGAUCGGAAAGACUCCGUAUGAAUUAAUUUAUGGACGUAAGCCGAAUGUGUCUCAUCUACGGACAUUCGUGUUUGUGGCACAUGUGAAGACGGCGGAGCCGCAUCCCUCAAAGCUUGUCGAUCGUACCACCAAGAUGGUGUUCAUUGGAUACGAGAGGAAUUCUGGCACCAAGGCAUACCGCUUCUACGAUCCACAAACCAAGCAUCUACGAAUUUCAUGCGACGUUGUGUUUGAAGAAAACCAAGCGUGGAAUUGGAGCGCCACAGUCGACGAUGCUUCAAACAAUAACAUGUUCAGAGUUGAAUUUCCAACUAACGAUGAUGUAGGAGAGGAUGUCCAGAUGGUUGGCAAGAUGCCCAAUCAAGGUGACCACAAAUGUAGUGAUCAUCAUGGUGUCGACACUGACGACGAUGCGCAUGGGUCGCAAGGUGAUAUCGACAACGACACGCACGAUACGGGCGGAGAUCUCGACGACAACAUCGACAACGAGGUGCUAAAUAACGACGACAAUCAAUAUCAUGGUCAUGGUCACGACGACUACACCGACGACGUGGAUGUUUAUGGAAUGCCCGGGACUCAGCCGUCUUCCUCAAGUGUAUCAACACCGACACAAUUUGUGUCACCUCCUUCGAAAGCUACAACGGACUCCUCCCUGCCUGGUCGCUAGAAGACCCUCAAGAAAUUCCACAAGUACACAAAGCUAGUUAUGCUCAAGUACUCCGGACUAUGAAGGACACAGAGGGUGGCAUUGUGAAGUACAAGAGAAGACUCGUUGCAAAGGGCUAGAAGACCCUCAAGAAAUUCCACAAGUACACAAAGCUAGUUAUGCUCGAGUACUCCGGACUAUGAAGGACACAGAGGGUGCCAUUGUGAAGUACUAGACAAGACUCGUUGCAAAGGGCUACGUACAACGUCAAGGAGUUAACUAUGAUGAGAUGUUUGCACCGGUUGCUCGACUCGAGACAAUGAGAAUGCUCCUAGCUUUGACAGCACAAGAGGAUUGGAAGGUUUAUCAUAUGAAUGAUAAAUCCUCUCCCCUCAACGGUGAUCUCACAAAAUAAGUGUAUGUGGAACAACCCCUCGGCUACAAUAAGAAAAGUGGACAAGGAAAAGUUAAAAGCCCAAGAAGGCACUUUAUGAAAUGAAGCAAGUGCCAAGAGCUUGGAAACCGAAAUUAGACAAAAGUUUGGUCUUGCUAGAGUUCAAAAGAUGUCCUCUCAAGAAUACGAUAGACACAACCAAGCAGAAGUGUUGCCGCCAAACUAUGGAUGAACCGACGGUAGCAAAGCCACUCACGGGGAUGCUACGGGGAAUGACAAAGGCAAUGCCGACGAUAGUGUCUACGAGUAAUAGUACUCGUAUUUGGGAUCCAGGUCGGUAGUAACGACCACGCCAUGUUUAAGGGGAUAAAUCUUAGAACUAAUCAUGUCGUGUAUGUCCGAGUAGUACUCGUACAAGGUGUCCGGGUAGUAUUCCAAGUAGUAGCUGAUAGGUUAGCAUGUAUCACCCCUGACUAUUAUAUAUAACCAUGUAAAGCUUCCUGUAGUCACCAACAAGAAAGAGAAAAGGUAAUAUAAUGUUUAUCAGGCUCGAUACGAGCCUGUAGCAAUACAUCGAGAGUUUGUGCAUCCGUUGAGAGAAGCCGAGCCGUUCCGUCGAGUUUAAGUUACCCUCUAGUUCCACGUCUAUGUACGCCGAAGUACGUGCAUGUGUGUGGCUACCGUUGAUCAAUCAAUGAGCAUGUGAGCUUGCUUGCUAACUUUGAAGCUAGCUUGCACAUACGUGGGUAGCUGCUGGGUGAAUUGAUCUAUGGUUAAAAACCAAUAAUGACCACUUUUUAUGCUGUAAAAAUCAUUCUACAGAUCAAAUGGCAGAUAAUACCGUACGUGCACAUUUAUCAUUUGGAUUCUUUUUGGCUCCUUAGUGAACGCUGCAGUCUAACUAAAUAUGAAUUUCUGGAUGAUGAAAAAUUGUUGAUAGCUUCAGGCCCUAAAAUUCUCUAUUUCGGGUCCUCUACGCUUGCAUCCGCGCUUACGUACAGAGCUCAACAACAUCUCUGAUUAAUGUGUACAGUUGGGCGGUGCUCGUUGGGGCGUUGCAACAGCCCAUCUCAAUCACGAGUCCUUCUCAUUUGACAGCGAGCCAUUGAUUGAUUUCUUGCUACCUUAGCCCUUAAGCAACAUGGCUCUUUAUAAUACCUUGGCCUUCCAAGUUCCAAGUACUCCUACUUGGCAGAAGUAAAAUAAAUUACAUUUUUCUCAAACAGAGAAAGUAAAGAAAGCUAGAUUUCACAUUUCAAAGGGAAAAUGGUGGCCGUCGACCCGAAAGCCCUUCCCUCCGCCAAAGCCGUGAACCACGAGUUCAGCGUGGUCAUCGACGGCGCCGAGACGACCAUCAACGAGGGCGUGUUCCGGUGCAACGGUGGCACGCUCACCGUGGUCAGCCCAGGCGUCCUCGAGGUCAACAGGUUCCAACACGUGGUCGUGCGCGGCGGUGGCGGCGGCGACGUCCGGUUCGCCCGGUGCGUCUUCGCGGCGGCCGAGGCCUGCGGCGCCGUGUCGUUCCAUAGGUGCGACGCGGUGCGCGUCGACGGGGCCGGGGAAGUGGCCGUGCGGCGGUGCAGGUCCGCGGACGUGGAGCGCGCGGGCACGGUGAGCAUCCGGAGGUGCAAGGGGGCCGCGCGCGUGCACGGCGCCGGGGAGCUUCGUCUAGGACGGUGCCGGGAGGCGGACGUGGGCAACUGCUCGGCUGUGGCGCUGGGGCGGUGUCGCGAAGCGCGCGCUGACUGGUGCGGCUCGCUCGGCGUCCAGCGGUGCCGGUCGGCGGACGUUAGCCGCUGCGGCGCCGUGCGCGUCGACCGGUGCGGCGACGCGAGCGUGUCGAGCUGCGGGAGCGUGAUGGUGCGACGUGGCAAGGUGAACAUGGUGGAGGCGCAUCAGCUACAGGGUUGGCAGGAAGGGCCCUUGUGUCAGAAAGCAGAGCCAGCCGACGCAGUGCCCAUGGAAAUCAUGAGCAGGUGAAGAACUGUCUGAUGAAAUAUGAAAUAUGCCAGUGAUAUUAUUUGUGUGGUAUAUGAGCAGGUGAAGAACUAUCUGUGUACUGCAUAGGGGUAGAAUAUAUUUCUGCGAUGUGUAUGUUUCCGAUGUAUACGGUUGUUGAGUAUGUGAUUGUUUAGAAAACAUAAAUAACUAUUUCACCAAUCCCUCUAAUCUCUUUCAACACCGAUGUACCCAAUUAUGUCCUGGGUAAUGUUUGUGGUAAGGUAACUACACCCAGGUGCUUAAACUUAUUAUCGAUGUUUAAUUUAAUGUUUAAAUUUGAAAAAUAUGUUGAACUAGGUCUAAAAAUUGAUACAAGCUUGUAAAUACAAUGUUCAUCUCAUUAGUAGGUGCAAAAACGUUGGCGUGCCAACGUAUUUUGGUUAGCAUGACUGCUUGCACAUAUAUAUACUAGAAAAACUGUCCGUUGCAAUGAAAAUACAUUAUAAACAUGAUUUCCUCUUUUAUAAUGUUAAAAUGUAAUCAACAAACCAUGCAUUCAUAGAGGCCAGUUACUUGGAUUUUAUAGUUUAUUUCGACGUGUUAGUUAUGUACAAUAUAUUGAUGUACUAAUAUUAUAUAUAUUGUAUCAUUAUUUUUAUGGUCUAAAAAUAUUAGAAAAUUAAAAACCUUAUAUAAAAAUACAUUAGUAUUGAAACAUGCAGCAUUUGCUUUUAUUUUCGAUAAGAAAUAUACAUUGAAUGCAUAGUGAUCAUAGCAAAAAUAAAAUGCACGGAUGCUUCAUAUGAUUUAAAUCUGGGAAAAAAAACAACGGUGCCCUAAAUUCGGAGAGAAAUAUGUCAAAAUAGCAUAAUUCUAUGGGAAAGUUAAGAGAUCAAUAUAAGAAUACGAACCGAAGUGUGUUUCUAAAACUACCCAUGAGGUUGAUAUCCCAUCAUUGACUGCGCAAGAGGUCUUGAAGCUCUCCUUCAACAUCUACAUAAAGUGAUCAAGUUUGAUGACACUUCCGUCGGUAAGAGGACUUGGCAAAUGGCUAUGGACAUUUAUUACUUUAACAUUGAAGUUUUGCAAUCAAGUUAAAAUUCACUAUUAGGGCUUAUUACCACGAGCUUUACCUGGUGUUUUUUUUGUUCAAUUUCUCGUGGAGUAAAAAAAGGAAACACUUUCUAUCUAUAGACUGAUAGGAGACCAACGUCACACCAAUGGACUGACCUUGAUUCAGUUGGGAUCGGACGACCAUAAAUUAUGCAUGCACGUUAAAAAAAAGAGAAAAGACCCCCCCCCCCCUCGUCUAGAAACAAAUCUCUGCCCAUAACAUCUCCCUAAUCACUCUCCCGAUAUUCCUGUUGAUUUCAAUCUCUUCCAUCUCGCAUGCAGCGCCCAGAUCCCCUUUUUCUUCCAUCUCGAAUGCAGCGCCCAGAUCCCCUUUUUCCAUGGCCUCGCAUGCGCCUGCCUCCUCCUCUCCUCGAGCAGCACAACCAGUUCCUUUCCUUCCUUCGCGCAAGAGCGCCCCUCCUCCGUACGUGGCGCCAUGCCUAUCUCCAACCGGGUGUCCGCAGUCCGCUGGUGUUGUUGCCUAACCAUGCUGUCGGAGGAUCACUAGAUGGCCGAAGGAAGUGAAACCGAUUCGACGAGGUUGCAACUGUACAAUGCAAAAAUAGUUGAUACUCUUGGAAGCAUAUUUAUCACUCUCUUACCCCCUCCAUGACUCAUGACGCUUGAGGUUGUAGAGUAUAUACAUCCCAAGGACGACACAGUGAAGAAGAUCGAGGGGCUUGGGCAGGGGCACUGCAGCUUGUAUCCGUCAGUGCCAUGGAUCACGCCUUCCAUGGAUGCAAUUUAUAUGAACUAGUGUAACUAUGACGAAAUAUUUUUCUUUUUAAUGGAAGUGAAAUAAUAUUCUUUUUGGAAGCAAUUCUAGCUAGUUGAUGGAAACAAGAUUAUGAUGCUUCCUAAACAUGGGAAAUUAAUAUUUUUCAUUUUUGAAAAAAGAAGGUUCCAAGCAGUCGUCUAGUUGAUGGUAGCAAUAUCGUGAUGCUUCUAAAACAUGUGGAAUAUUUUUUCUUUUUUGACGACACAAGGUUCGAAGCAAUUGUGUAGUCGAUGGAAGCAGGAUGAUGAUGCUUCCGAAGCAUGUGGAAUAUUUUUAUUUUUUGAGAGAAGAAGGCUCGAAUCAGUCGUCCAGUCAAUGAAAGCAAGAUUGUGAUGCUUUCAAAACACGUGGAAUAUUUUCCUUUUUGACAUAAGAAGGUUCGAAGCAGUCGUCUAGUCGAAGGAAGCAAGAUCGUGAUGCUUACAAAAUAUGUGGAAUAUUUUUCCUUUUUAUCGAAAGAAGUUUCAAAGCAAUUCUCUAGUCGAUGCAAGCAAAGAUCGCGAUGCUUCUAAAACAUGUGGAACAUAUUUCUUUUUUUUACAAAAGAAGGUUUGAAGUAGUUGUCGAUGGAAGCAAGAUCAUGAUGGUUUUGAAACAUGUGGAAUAUUUUUUUCCGUUUUGACAAAAGAUAGUUUGAAGCAAUUCUCAAGCAUAUAGAAGCAAGAUCAUGAUUCUUGUGAAAUAUGCGAAAUAUUUUCAUUUUGGAUGGAAGGAUAUAUGAAGCAAUUCUCUAUUUGUUUAGUCGAUGGGACAAGUUCUUGAUGCUUCUGAGACAUAAUAUGCCGACAUGACAAAAAAAUCAAAAAUAUUGGAGCAGACAUUCAGAUAAGCAAAUUUUUUAACUAAUGGAAACAUAACUAAUUACAAACAAAAGUACAAGCACAUGCAUCUGAUGCAAAUUUGGCGUUGCCAUGUUGGUUAAAAGUUUUGCUUCCUGCUAAAAUCUGCAAGUUGCAUCCUAAAUCCAUGGACCAAAAAUGCAUAUCCUCAAAUAAUUCCGUGUAAUUAGCGGCCCACUUAACGACAUGAUUUGUGGAGGAAAUUAAUGCUGGAUUUUGUACGUAGGAAAUAAUUGUCCAAGCUUGUUUUCAGGGAUCAGCACACACAUCAGAUUGGCCCUGUUUGGAUACUAGUGUUAGAGUUAGAGUUGGUUAGAUGCAUCUAACCCACCCAAAAAAUCUAACCCACCCAAGAGGUGCUUUUUUGGGUUAGAGUUGGGUGGGGCCCAGAAAAAGUUACUUUUCUCUCUUCCUCCAUCACACAAAAUUCUAAAUAAAGGAGUCAAAUGAUUGGAAAAAGUGCAUUUAUUGACAAUCUAACCCUUUCAUCCAAACACCUCUUUGGUUAGAGUUAGUUCAGGGUUAGUCUAGAGUUAGAAUCUAACUCUAACCUCUAACCGAGUUAGAGUAUCCAAACAAGGCCAUUGAAUCAAUCGGAGGGCUCAUGACAGGUCUGAUGGAAGGCAGGGCAUCAGUAGUUUGAUGUCUAACGGUGCCCAAAAACCAAGACCAAGGAUGUGUAAGUAAGGGGUCACCCCCUCAGCUGCCGGUGCCACCGAUGGAACGUGUCGCUCCGCCGUACAGCUGCACACCUGAGCUGUUCCUCGAGUAAGUCCACGUAGGUGCGCACCCACGCGGAGGAGCCCUAGACCAGGUGGCUGGAGUUGUCCAUGAAUUUGGACAGCUGCAAAGCGUGGACACUAUGCUGGCCGUGGGUAAGCUCCUGAAGCCCUCCUUCUCUUUCGUGAUGCGACCAUUAUUAGGGAGUAGGGUGCGGAGGAAAGUGUACUUUAUGGCCUUUUGGUAGUGAUUGUGUGAUUGCGACGAUAAACUUGACUCGUAGUGUUAUACAUCUUCUUUAUUUCUCCUUCGCCGACAUUGGAUCAGAAGACUAACUGCAUAGCUGAGAGGGUGCUUGGAUCCAAAAGACUAAAACUAGUCUUUUUAAGAGGCUAAAGUUCCAAGCAUCUCUGAUUAAAGAGAGGCUAAAACUAGUUUUGAGGCUAAAAUCUUUUAGUCAAGGGUACCCUUACUAAAAUGUGUAUUAGUCAUCUCUCUCCUCAUUUAACUCCUCAUGCAAGUUCUGGAUUGGAGGGUUUGGAGGAUAAUAAAUGCUCAUUAACUUGAUUUUAGUCUCUUUAGUACUUGGAUCCAAGCAUGGGUGAGGCUAACAAGUUUUAGUCUCAUUACUUUUAGUCAUGGGACUAAAACGUAUCAAGCAUCUCUGAGUUGCAUCAGCAUUCAAGAGAGACGGUCCUGGGGUCCACUCCACCAUAGUUGGUGGCUCAAAGCCGCCAAAUCACCUGCAUGCCGGGACGAGCGCCACAGUGACAUCAAUGAACCCGUACGUGCAACAAUGCACUUAUGUGUUCACAUGAUUGACGGUCGUGUCCUCGUUGUGUCCUUAUAGCUAUAAUUGUUGGUCACCACAUACAACGUGGACCAUGCAAUGCGUAUAUCAUGGACGGCGCACCACUCGAUAUGGUGAAGGCCAUGAAGAUCUCAUCGUCGUUGUCCAGGGUUGCCGACCAAGCUGGCAAGACACAGCCGAAGGGAUUAGAAAUCUCCCGACCUGAUUGGGAGGUGCGGUGCUGCUUAUUUUUUUAUUAGGGGCGCUUGAUAGAGUUUGCCUUGAAAAUAGUUAAAUGCUUCGAUAUAGCACUUCAAUUUAAAGAUGCGGUGUGGAGAUGUACCUUAUCACGUACCGGACUAUUGGAUCUUUUUUUAGAAACCAAACUAUUGGUUCAAGGAUCCGAUGGCCUAGAAAACAGACGGACAAAAAACUCUGAAAUAAUUUGUAUUAUCAAAAUUAUUUUAGGGCAUUUAAUUAUGAGAUGAAUCGGAGAUUUUUCUCUCCCUAAUAAUAAAGCACGGAGCGCUCCUGUCAUCCGUCGCAGUCAUUUUGCAAAAAAGUCCCUGAUGUAUUGGGUAUUCAACCCGCACUCCUGAUUUGAAUGAACAAAAAACGUUUCAGUUUUAUUAAAAAAAAUACCCCAACUCACAUUAUCCACCCCGGGAUCGUCCUCCACCGCGGGAUCCUCUCUCCGGCCCCGUCCUCCACCGCGGCCACGAGCACGCUCCUCUCCGGCACCGUCCUCCGGCGAGGUGCCUCAAGAUCCUCCCGUUCGCCGUCGCCAAGAUCCUCCGCGCCACGCUCCGCACCGUGGAUCGUCCUCCACCGCGGGAUCCUCUCUCCGGCCCCGUCCUCCACCGAGGCCACGAGCACGCUCCUCUCCGGCCCGUCCUACACCGCGGCCAUGAGCACGCUCCUCUCCGGCACCGUCCUCCGGCGAGGUGCGUCAAGAUCCUCCCGCUCGCCGUCGCCAAGAUCCUCCGCGCCAUGCACCGCGCUCGCCAUGGGCGCCAACCACGCCGUCCACGUCCUCCACGACCCGACCCGUCCUGCCCGCUCCUCCAGCUCGCCGUCGCCAAGAUCCUCCCCGCCCUCGCGCUCCAGGAGAGCCCCGGCCUCCUCAUCCUCGGCAAGCAGGUCCGUACUCCCCGUCCGUCUCAGAUUCGCCUCAAUUCAGUCAGUUUUUCGCCUGAUCCUCCAUGCCUCUCAGGUGUUGUCUGAUUCUCAAAAGUUAGCUGAACGAUUUGCCCAAAACUUUGAGCAGGGCGGCGGCUCGUGCAAACGUAUACACUCUAAGUAUUGUCUACAUGGUUGAUCCAUGUCAGUAAGACUAAUAUUCUGCAGUUAGUUUGUGUGUUUACUUGAAUUUUCUUUUUCUUCACAUGCAAUAUCUAUGUGUUCUACUGUCCGCAUUGUUCUUCUUCACAUGAUGCACAAAAUGUUUUAUGUUGAUGGAACAUACAAUAAAAUACUGUAAACAAAACUCGUUGCGAAUGAAAUGAGGAUAUACAUGACAACUUCUUCCAGUCUUCUGCGUUCCAAGCCGCAUCAACUCUCAACAGCCUUCCAGCUAAUCUUGACAGAAAUUUUUGUGGAAUCAUGAAGAUACACCACUUCAUGCACUGUUCCAUGAUACCGUGAACCAAAUCGACCUUCCCACAUACAACACGGCAGCUCUUGAGAAAAACCGCCAUCUUUCGGGGAUCCUUCGAUACAGAAAUUAAGAUAACUGUGCCUCAUCACACCAAUGACCGAAUUCAUUCCGCAACCCGAUUCUGUAACUCCAGAAAAGAGGAGGAUCACUUCUCUGAAUCCACUGGUCUUCGCAUAAAGAUUCAAAUUAAUGCCAUUGCCAGGAGCACGGAGUAUCUCGACAUCAACCUUUGCUAAACUGCAUUCUGCAACACAAGAAACUUCAUAUCCAAUCCACACUUCUCCCCAUACAUACGCCGAAAUUUAAUGAAUGGUCCUGUUUUGAACAUGUUCACAAACUCGGUACACCCUUCGAUCAGAAGGUCAUCCUUCGGCCCAUCUUCUUGUUGGUCAUCAGUCCGUACACAAAGUUUGAACUCAAAAAAGACACGGCAUAUCAUGCAAAUACAUCGAGCAGGGCUAAUCAGUGAUAAAUGUGCAAUGCCCUACAUUAAGGAUCAACAAGCAUUACAUCAUAUAUAUAGUUCAUACUUAUUAGUUACUAGGAAUUGAUGGCAUAUAAUCACCACAUGUGCAUGAAUAGAACGAAGACAAGUGUUCUGUUUUGAUUAUCUGACAUUGAAUGUUGCCCUCUCAAUGAAAGAUAAGUUCGAGUUUGCGCAUUAAAGAAAACUUUGAAUAUACCCUUAGAAUACACAUUAUUAAUGUGUGCAACAUGGAUUAACAUGUCUUGUGUGCCAUGGUUUGGGGAGAGUCUCUCCCCCCUGGGGGCAUAGAAGAACUAAUCAUCUAGCUCUUUCUUGCUUUAUUCCUCGUAGAGGGUCAUCUUAUUUAUUGCAAGAGUGAUGAUUGUACUUGAUCUAGCUUAUAAUUUGCACUCCCUUUGGCAACUGGUUCCCUGGGUCAAAGCCCCUCCUCCAGCAAGCAAUGAACAAGAUCAUGAAGGUAAUAACCAUGUUAACUGUAACAAAUCUAGCUCUAUGGCAUUAUCUGUGUUGUUAAACUGAUUGAAAGCCCCCUCAAUCAGCAUGAUAAUCUCUUAUUAUUAACCCUGAAUCUACCCUACACAUACAGUGCAUGCAAUAUCUUGUGAUUUUUGUAGGUCCUAUUUUUAUUCGUACCUGAAGGAGUGCAUCUCCUGGUUCAGCUGAAAAUUGAUAUGGUCUAAAGCUGCAGGAGAAGUAAGUAGUUGGACAUCAUCUACUGAUACAAGGCCUAAAGCUACAGGACAAGUAGGUAGUUGGACAUCAUCUACUGAUACAAGGCCUGAAGCUACAGUAGUUACUUGGAUUUCAAAUUCCAAGAAACUUGGUUUGGCAAAAGAUGAAGGCAAUGACAGAACUACAAUUCCGAGAUACCAGGCUGUAAAGGGAGUUUCCCAUAGACCAGAGGAACCUUCCCAUAGGUUAACUAACCAGCUUUCCUCGGCAGUUGUUAAACCUCAUGUUAGGACAGAGGAGAAGAAUGCAUGCUCAGAUACCAGGGGUAAUCCAGUCCAAGUAAAGCAUCGAGUUCACCGUUGAGCCAUCCAAUAUCGCCAAUGAGGGCUACACCAGAGGUAUGUAAUGCACCGACCACCCUCAAAAAUAGCCAUGUUGCUUCCCUUUGAGCAAAAAUCUAUCUGUCCAAGUCAACAUGAUCAUCACCCUUUCCUUUCUUCUUGAGAUUAUUAUCUGCAUUGUUUGAUUUUAUUGAUGUUUUGCAAGAAUUAAUCUACUUAUUACAUUUAGAACCAAUUUAUCAUCACUACAUGAAUUUCCUGCUAAUAUCCAUAGUGUGCUAAUUUGCUUGAUUUGGUCAAGUAGAGCAAGCUUUACAGAUUUUAGAAUUCGAUUAAUUGAAGAAGUUAGAAUUGUCAUUCCUUUUCAGUGGGCAGUGGGAAUCAUAUAUUUUGUAUUAUGUUGUUCAAAAUAGUAAAGUUUAAUGAUAAGGUUUUACCACUAGCUCUACAAGGAUAUCGUCCAUCGUUCGUGCUUGUACUACAUUGCAUAGAUAACAUAAUUUGUUUGCUAGCUUGACUGAACUUUCGCCGUUGUUCCUGCGAUGGCCAAAGCAUAGGUUAUAACUCGAUCUGGGACUUGUAAUAGGAAAGAAAUCCAUGAUUUCUUCUUAUUAGGAUUAGUAGCAUGCUAAGGAUAACACUUUACAUGUUGUGAUCCCUAAUUUUAUUUAGUUCUUGCCAUGCUUUAGUUCUUCAAAGUGAGGGCUCCAUGUUCUGUUUUAGAAAGAGUGCAAAAAACUUGGCCACCGUGAUGCUUCAUCAUUUUGUCAUGUUGUUUGGCUGCAAGGAAAUACAUGCAUCAAUUUGGUGUGCAUUUUAAUGUGCUUGCUCCUAAUUCUUAUGCAUUCUCAUUCUGUUAAUUUAUACCUUCUGCAAUCAUGAAAAAAGGGACCAGUAGUCAGGUUCCAUUAAUCCUUCUAUAGGUGUUCUCUUUGAUGCCUUUCCCCUUCACUACCAGUAGAAUGAUGCUUUCUUUGUUAAAAUCUUGACAUUAUAUUAUCAAUCCCCAGUAGCUUAAUCGAUUCUAAGCUCACCAGAAGUAAUUGUUCAGAAUUUAGUUGUUGCCGACAGUAGAUUAUAUUUUACUGACAAGCAACACAUCAUGAACCCCUACAUAAAUGGAUUCUAUUUGUAGUUAACAACAAGAGAGUUUGAGUGUGAUGUCAAUAUCACUGGUCUGGAUGUUCAGAUUUUCUCAAAAUAAAAAAACUGGUACUUACAACCAGGCAAGUAAUUGAUCUAUUUACAUAGUCAAGUUCAUUUUCUGCUAUGUUCUUUCGUCAAACUUCAGAUUAUAGCCUUAAUUAAAUGGCAAUGAUAUUAUUUUUAGUCCACAACCAUAUCUGGUGUAUUCAUCUAUCCUGACACUGAUAGAUAUAUGUGCAAACUAUAUUGUUGUUUAGAUUUGGCCUAAUUCUGAUGUAUACUGUGUGUGCAUAUGCAAGUGUCUAAGGCGGCCGGUCGAACGCAGGUGGAGGCCAAGGAGGUUCUUCUCUCAGACAUGCAAACAAUAAUUACUGAUGACACCAACGUGCAGACUAUAAGUCCCCCUCAAUCCCGAUAUAGUUGUGUCACACACUCUGCAUUUACAGUAUUAGUAUGUAAUAGAUUCUGAAAGUUGAUUCAAGUUUGUAGUGCUUCAAUUCUGAAAGUUGAUAGAGUAAUUUCUAAAUUGAUUUGUACUGUAGUGCUUCAAGACUGAUUGCUCCGUGUUUGAUUCAUGUCUCAAAGUUGAUACAAUCAUUUUGUCAACUAAUUCCUGUUGUAGUGCUUUAAGUCUGAUUGGUCCCUGUUUGAUUGAAGUUUGGAAGUUGAUUGUUUGAUAGUAUUUUUAUUUUCUUCCGCUUUGGGAGUUUCUAUAGGUAUUAUUAAGUUG
rnacentral:lncRNA from 1 species